rnacentral:lncRNA from 1 species
CUUGCAUUUGAGUUCUAGUGGAUUUCUAGAUUUUAUUAGAUAUUUCUAGAAUUUGGUACAUUUAUGAUGCAGUUAAAUAUUUAUACUUUGGCAAGCUGUCUAUUUUGGAUGUGGAUGGUGGUUGUGUUUGAAUUAGGUUAAGAUGAAGACUUAUUGCCUUACGUUAAAGACCUUUUCUUGUUAUCUUAUUCUAAAGAGAAAAAAAUACUUUGCUUUACAUUAUGUUCGAUUUUGUUAGGUGGUUGUAUAGAUUGAGAGGCCUUGUAUAUUUUAUAAGGCCAUGGCAUGUGGGACACCGGACAUGCAACCUUGCCCAGUUUUUCAAUACAGGCACUUACGGUCUCCGAUUUUGCAUCUCUAUCUCUAUAAAUUUAUAUUUUGCAUCAAUACCAUUUCAAAUACAAAAUAACAAAUAAUGCAGAAACUUCUUCAGAUAUUUUUUUUUAUUUGGUUAUCUUUUCGUAUUACAGUAAAACUUAUGAAUUGAUUUGGUUUGAACUAAUUUACAAUUUGCAUAUGUUGUUGGCAAAUUAGAUUAUUAUAUCUUUUCAUUUGGCUGAUUAAAGGCUCCAAUCCAAAAUUAAGGCCUGAAAUUUGGGCAGAAUCUGUCUUUGCAAGCUUAUCCAUCAGUGUGCCAUACCACUACAAGGGGCGGUUUCACUUCGUUAGCCACCACGGAGAGCUCGUAUGGCUCAACAGUCCCCCUGCCGGCAACAAAUCUAAUCCAAUGCUGAGAUGGACAUUGAAGGGCCUUCUAUCUAUCAGUAUAUACGGGGAGACGGCAUAUUUAUCACACAGUAGAUAUCAUUGAUAUUCGCAUGUAUAACGUACCUGUAAGAGCCAUUUGAAAUCUGUAAAUUCUUAAAUUUCAGCAGAAUGAUGUGAAGAAUUGGAUGAUUAACUUUUCAUAUCAUUGUUACCUUGAAAAGAUUUAGGAUCAGCAAUGUUGGAUCUAUGACAGGCAGAGGUAUGAAUGACAUGAGAAGCUCCACAUGCAUGAUUUCCAUAUUUCUAAAGAGCCAAUUUUCCUAGCAACUCCUGUGAGUCUGCAAAUUGCUUUGGUGUACAGGAAUUUUCUGAAAGUCACAUAUGCGAGGGUGUUACAAUAAUUUGAAGAGAGAAGCUCAUCUUUUAACCAAAAAGAAGUAGAAGUCAUAGCUCAACUAUCAUUACAGCAAUGCUCUUCUUGCUGCUACCUGCUGAUAUUACUUAUCGAUUUCCUUUUUAAAAAAUAAUUAUUGCCAGUUAAUAAAACAAAGCUCCAGGACGGUGUUCUUGAACCGUCCUACUUCCAUCUUCCAUUCCAUUGUGAACUACUCAAUUGGUCAAACAUCAUUGUACUCAUAACAUUACCUUAUCCAAAAGUGAACUUAUAGCUUACAAUAAGAGAAGAAAGUUGGUUGCAACCAUAUGCCAACUAGUGGCAUCUAAAGAUAUUACAUAACAAACAUGGGUAGUACAGGAAGUGGCUUGAAUGUGUGCGUGCAUGUUACUUCUCAACAUGACGAAAUGCACAAUUCAGGAAUUUCUCUGAACACAUGAUUAGUGGUGAUCAUGAUUAGAAGAUUGUACAAGGUUGCAAACAACAUAGUCAACCAAGUAAUGACUCCACCUCUAAUCAAAAAAAUAAAAGUAAUGGAUCCAUCCACAAUCCAAAUAAUUGACAGAUUAAAAAAUUAUAAAUUAUCUUAUCUUUCGUUAGUCAAACCAAAUAAAAAAUAAUUGACCUAAUUAAUCACCAAUAUCCAAAAACUUACAUAUUUUGUGAAUUAUCCAUCAGCUAAAUGUGGCUCAGGUAUCAUGGGUUAUUGGUUAAUGAUGUUCUGAUGUCGGUUAGUUCAGAUGAGCAAGUUGGUUUCGCAGCCUGACAUCAAAGUUUUGCAUCCUAAUUAAACUUGGAGCUACUUGCAUAGGUAUCUUAAAAGAUUCCUAUCACAAGCCCCUGGCAAAUUCAACGGACUUGUAACUAUUAUAGCAAAAGACCAAAUAUGGAAAUGUCCUCUACUUCUAUAAGAUGGAUAAGAAAAUGACAACCUCCAAGCCUGAUUCUGCUGUAUAUUCAUAGUCCCUUUUAUGUCCAGUUAUUUGGCCCUCAUCAAUGCUUCCCAGAUGAUCACAAAUCCCUGUACCAGUAGUUCACACUUUUGCUGGUAGGCCAUUCAUUCUCCAACUGAGACUAUUUAAUGAUGCAUCAGUAUUGGACUUGAGUUAGCCUUGAUGGCGGGAAUACCAAUUAAAUUGUAAGCAUAGUCUCCCUAUCUUGACAUUACUCCUACGCUCUUCCCAAUAAACUCUUCCUGUGUUUUAUUAUCAUCCCAAAUCUUCCUGCUGGAAAAACCUUCCUAUCCUUGGCCAGUCACACCCUACAUAAGCAACAACCAAAAAUUGGAGCUCGAACCAUUUAAGUAAGAUUGAUAUGUUUUAUGAAGACGUUGAUGAAGAAUAGAUGUGAAUCUUUGAGUAAGUUCUUGUGACACUUUUUCUAUUUUUUUAGCAAUUGUGUUAGUUACAACUUAAAUUGACUGUUCAACUCUGCAAAACUCAAUGAAAAUCUUUGAAGUUUUCUAUAUUCCAUGUACACAAUGGCAAAUAUCAUUGUUAUGUCUUCUUUUACUGUGUUUUGUGCACUCCUUCCACAGUGCCACCAUCAUGCUCAUAUAUGCAGAACCAUAAUUAAGAAAGGUGGAUUAAUAAAUAUAAAAAGAAAAGCUAUCAAUAUACUCAAUCAAGCGUAUCAAAAUAAAGAUGUGAGCACUAUUAAUGAGAUUGAAAGAGAAGUUGGAUGAAGUCUUCCCAUGCAAGCGGAGCCAUUUUAUAAAUAUUAGUUGCUUAACAUGCAUAUUGCUGACUGUGAGAAAGUAUACUGUUGCUUCCCACAAACAGUAGCAGGUUGAUUUUUCUCAUAAAAAUGACCUUGAGAAAAUCCUUCCUGAUGAGGACAGAAGUUCCCAUUUCCAAUGCUCUAGAAAUGAUUUUGACAGAAAGAGUUGGUGGAAGGAAAAUUGAAUGGUAACUACACAAAUUGUUAUUACUUUUGAUCAUUUGCAAAUAUACCUCUUCAUGUGUAGGAAGUGUCUUGGUUGGAAGAAUUCGAGAGUAAAAACUGGCAUGGACCAAUGUUGAUCUACAUGAACCAGUACUGACCAACAUAUUAGACAUAUAAUAAUGGUCAGCUAAAUAAUAUUAAAAGUCAAAUUAUCAAUAAAUAGAUGGACCAACUUCAUUAGAAAAAGGGAUAGUAAGCUUAUUAGGCCUGAGCUUUCAUUAGCUUAGUUCUCAGAUCUUCUGCAUGAAUCAUGUUACAGAUUCAGUCUAGCUUCUAUUAAUAACUGCCUGAACAAAGUUUUUGAAAUCAGUUCUAGAUUUGUUCUUGGAGGAUGAUAAAAUUCAAUACGAAUAUACAGGUUAGUAGCUCAAUUUUCAUAAUGAUACUUAAGGAUACUCCAGUUAAUGCUUAACAUUUAUCUUCCCUCCCUGUUUGCAUGUUUUUUGACCAUAUAAAAAGAAUAUGGAGAGUCAAUGAAAGUUUUAGUUCUGAUCUCACAUAACUCAAUCAUUAUCUUUAUGAAGAAAAUUCAGCAGCGCAUGCAUUCACAAUAGAAGCAUGAAAUGAGUCACAAAUUAUCAAAGUACAUUGUGCUUCAAAGAAAUUCAGUGCAUAAAAAGAAAGAAUGUCCAGAAUAUAGGACAGUAAGUGAGAAUGAUUAAAGUUAAGGAAGAAGAGUUAUUGAGAAGUUUAUAAACGAGUGAAACAGCAUGAGAAAUGCAAACCAUAAUGAAGUUCCUGGAAAUGAUGUACGAAAUCAGAAGGUGUUUGACAUAAUAACUUUUGACAUCUCGAACCUCAACAUACCAUAUGGCUCCGGCUAGAGGCUCGCAACCGAUGGCGAUUGUUCCCCUUCUCUUUCUGAAUUACAACUCACAUGUCCCCAUGAACUUCAUCCAUGAAUCGAGCAAAACAAAAACAACUUUUUUCCCCUUCGGAUAGAAUUUUUUCUUCAAUGCAUCCUUUUUAUCUUCUUAGAAUGAUCAUUUGGGAUUACUAAAGAAUCUUCAAAUAACCAAUCCAGAGACAAAAAAAAGAGGGACCCUCAUGAGCAAAAAAUUGCGCCAGCAGCUUGCUUCAGAACUUAUUUCCAAAGUCGCGUUAAUCAAUCCAAGAUGUUCGACAUUUUUUUUUAGAAGUUUUCAUCUACGAUUCCUCAACUCCGAUCUUGCUGCAGUAUACAUCCCUCACUUCCGGAGCCUCUCUGCUGUAUCUGAUCACAUACUUCUCCAAGAACUCGUUCUCGUUACAAGCAAACAACCAUGGCCCCAACUUAUUCCUCUUACUAUUCCCAUCUUUCUUAAGCAGUCCCUUGGAUUCCAGCAGACGAUAUACCCUGAACCUCGGCAAGAGCCUUUUCUCCAGCCCAUACAUCAGCAGCUUCGGUUGCCGGGCGAGAACCUUGGGCGUCAACCCGACCUCGUUCACAAAGAACCUCACCAUCUUUCUCAUCUUCUCCUGCGACACGAGCACGAACAGCGGGGCGCGGCGGAACGCGAUGGCGAUCUCCUUGUCGGACCAGGCGAGGGAGCGGCGGAGGAAGGCGAGCCGGGCGUCCCAGGUGGAAUGCCGCAUGGCAUUGAGCGCGCGGACGGCGUGGACGAACAUGGCGGUCUCGGGGCGGACGCCGAAGCGGGCAGCGGAGUCGACGGCGGCGGCGAAGCGGGCAGGGGGGAGGGUGAGGGCGCGGGGUUGGGCGGCGAGGAGGGCGGAGAUGUGGGGGGCGGGGACGCCGCGGGAGAGGAGGAGGUCGACGUUGGGGGCGACGGUGGAGGGGAAGUUGGAGGAGAGGAGGCGGGGGAAGCGGCGGACGGCGAGGAGGAGGGAGUCGGGGGAGGGGAGGAAGAGGCGGAGGAGGGAGAAGGCGGGGAUGAUGUGGGAUUGGAGGCUGCAGGAGAGGAGGGAGGGAGAGGAGGAGAGGAGGAGGGGUAGAUGGGGAGGGGGGGAGGGAGGAGGAGAGGAAGGAGANNNNNNNNNNNNNNNNNNNNGGGAGGGGGGGAGGGAGGAGGAGAGGAAGGAGAGCUUGGGGGAGAGGGUGAGGUCGGGACGGGAUCGGAGGAGGGAGGGGCGGACGGAGACGAUGCGGGCGAUGUGGGAGGGGGAGAGGCCGUGGGAGCGGAGGAGGGAGAGGACUGCGAGGGAGUUGGCGGCGGAGGAAGGAUCGAGGUGGAGGCGGCGGGCGGCGGAGAGGGCGGAGGUUAAGGAGAGGCCGCAGGAGGAGACCAGGAAUUGGACGGUGAAGGAGGAGGGGGAAGGGGGAGGGUCGGUGGAGAGAGAUUUGCUGAAGAAUCUGGAGAAUAUGGUUGGAGCGGAGUAAUGGAAGGAGAGGAUUCGUUUGAAGAAGAGAGAAGACAUCUGAGAAAUGGGAGAUAUAGAAAAGGAGGAGGAGAAGAAGGGUGUUUUGAGGAUUCUCAGUGCGAAGUGGGAGGCUCAGGGAAGAAUUUAAGUAUCCAAAUGGGUCUGUUUUUAAUUUGGAUAUGAGGAUUGGGUUGGGUUGGGUCUGAAAUGGAGCUAUUUGAACCCAAUCCGUAGACUAACAAGGUCAAAAAUUAGUCAAAAUAUUAAGAUGAUUCCAUAAUCUAGUCCAGCCCAACUCAACCCAAAUGUCAUGAUUUACAAAUCAUGACCCAUGAAAGUCAUCAUUAUUUAGAUCAUAUCAUAAGUAAAUUUAGAAACGACAUAAUUUGUUGGGUGGAAAUUUUAUUUUAUCUCUUAUUUAUUUUAUCAGUACAACUUCAAUGCCGAACGAUAUAUGAAAAUAAAUUGUGUCCUCCACCCACUUUAUUUGAUAAGAUCUUCUCUCAAGCCUUGCUCACCCCUUCAAUUAGGAGAAUUUGGAGUGUGGCAUGCGUGACACACUUGUAUUUUUAUUUAAAAAAAGAGACCCCCAUCCAUAUAAAUUAUAGAUGCUAAAGACAUGCAGCACCUUUUGUUUUCAAUUUUUCUAAAUUCUUUAUGAUGUGCUGCACCAAGGAUGUAUAUUAAUCUACUAAUAUUACUUAUAACAAAAAUAGCCAUGGUAGAAUACAAUUCACCAUUAAAUAUGAUUUUAUAAUUCCUUAUGAACAUUGUUUGCUUUAUGUUAUUGUGGACCCAAAACCUGGUAGCUGGGUUUCAAGGUUAGAUAUCUCACUAACAUAAAACUUGGAAACCUUUAAGAUCUUCAAACGGUCGGUAGGGCGACAUAGUUCUACAUGCAAUUUGGAAGUAUCAUGAUCUAAAUAUCUGCUUUACAAGAUGAUGGUUUCACAAUUACUGUUUUCUGAAUGCUCCUUUCAGUGAUUGCAUUGGUUUAUCAAGUAAAUCAAGGAUUAUUCAAGAUUAAUAAUAGUACGUUGCUAAACAAAUAUUCCAUUUUCACAGCAGAAACUUUUUCUCAGCAACUCUUAGAAUAUGGAAGAGCUGAUAAAACAUGCAUUGCAAGCAGAAUGUGUUCUUGGUGAUGUGCAUCUCUAUCCAUACAGCAGUUGAGGACUGCAGUGAGACAACAAGGUAUUGAUGUCAUGCCCGUAAUUUUAGGCAUGUAACGCACCUACUAAUUUUGCUUCAUCAAGAAUAAACAAUACACAAUCAGGAAGAAAAUUUUCAGUGGCUUAAAGAGCAUGAUGAGAUGUUCUAUCUGGGAUUGAUUUGAAAAUUUGCAACACUGGACUUCAGAAAAGAGCCUAUCAGGUUCCAAACAGAAAUUUUUGAUCCAAAAAACCGUACUUGAACUGAUCGUCGUGAUCCUUCUCUGACAUACUCCAGUUCUCCAGAGAUACCAUCUUGAACAUAAUCAGGUUCUUCAAGAAGAGGCAAUGCAAUAGAGCCUUGGGACUCGAGGUUCUUAAUCCACCCACGCAACAAAAAGUUUACAACCUGUUGGCCACAAAAGAAUCAUCCUCCUCAUACCAUCUUCUUUCCCAUGAAUUAGAUACUCAAGUUUAUAAAGUAUCGAAUAAACACUUGAGUACACUGAAACUACGUUAUUGCACAAAUGCAAAAAUACCAAAGUAGAUGAGCACUUUCAGCUCAUUUGGCAGAACCAGGCAUAAAGAAAGAGCAGAUAUUCUAGCAUUUAUUGGAUGUGAACAAAUAGAAGUAAUUUCAAUUUAGAGAGAGUGGUGCUCAAAGUAAAGUUUAUGUAGUGACGUCAAGGACUAAAAAUCAAAUUAUGGACACAAGUCAUCAGAUUGUACAACACACACAAUAUGGAGAUGGUAAGGAUUGGCACAGGUCAGCACCUGCCAGUUCAAAUAAGUCAAAAAAAAAAAAGAAAAAGUUUACCAAGUAAUACUGGGCAGUACAAGGUUGGUACAAGGUGAUACAGGUCGGUUAGGGUAGUAUAGGUCGGACAACCUAAAAAUGUCAUAGAAGUCUAAUGUCCUAGAUAGUAGAACUUACAUCUGUUGAUACAGGUCGGUUAGUGUAAUACAGGUCGGACAACCUAAAAAUGUCAUGGAAGUCUAAUGUCCUAGAUAGUAGAACUUACGUCUUCGUAGUGAGCGCCUUCAUAUGCUAAUUUAUUAGAAAUUAGCUUUGUGCAAGUGAACUUUUAGUGCUCCAGCUGUUACUUACUACAAAUCAUGUUCCUGCAAUAUGUAUUAUGAAUCUUCAACAACUAUAUUUUUUGUUAAAUGAGAGCAUUACAAUGCGAAGGUAAGAACAGGUUUGCUUACCAAUCUUUAAACAAAAUAUGCAAUAUCUUUUCCAAUCCACAUAACAAUGACUUCAUCAUGAGAACUCCAAUGCUGUGAUCAUUCAAUCUACUGAGUACGCAUAUGUGCAGCAUAAGAGUCUCUUGCGGUAAAUAAUACCCUACUACCUAGCAGCUACGGUCAAUAUCCAUUUUCAAGGCCCUAUCUGAUGGCAGAGCAAGAGUACACUAGUAAGUUAAUCGGUAGGCCAUAACUGUGAAUGUUUUUCGAUAAGAACUCUCAUGUAACUGUUAGAUAUGCCCAGAAAUGCAGCUUGAAUGUGCUUGUCGGGUUUAUCCGAUGAUUUCAUUAGCAAUACCAAAAAAAUUUCAAGAAUAAAGCCCAACUGUACUGCAGUUAUGAGAGUUGGUGAUUGUUUUAUUUCUUUGCUUCUCAUGAACAAGAUGACAGCCUGUCUAUAACCGGCUCCCAGUAGUUAUCAUGGACCAGUCUGAUAUAGCAUGCACACAGUGCAACAAACAGCUUCACCAAGCCUAGAUAAACCCUCUCUCUCUCUCUCUCACACACACACAACAAAAAAAGAAAAGGUCCUACAAUGGAUUCCAACUGUUUUUUAUCUAACCUUCAAAUUGAAGUUCACUAAAUUUUGGAAACAUUGAUCAAAGCUUCUGAUUUAAAUUGGCAGCAGCAUAUAGGAGAAGAUUGUCAACCUUUGUGACACAUGAGUUUGCAUAACAAACAUCUUCCAGCAUUUUCACCAAAUUCUCCUUCUCAUCAUGUUCUUUUAUGAUUGCUACCAAAAAACAUGUUGCAUAAGAAAGGGGGACAUUAGGAGCACAUGUGGUGAUAUGCAAAGCAUUUUCAUCUUUCAUUACCCAUCAAAAAAAAACUGCAAACCCCCCAAGAUGAAGAAGAGCUUAAGUUACCGUUAAGAUGGAAUCAUGGAAGACAAGUUAUUUUCCUGACAAGGAGCUCAGCGUAGAACAUUCCUGGUGCCUAUCAGAUUGUAGGUCUAUUGGACAUGUUUUGGCUACAUACUACAGACAAGAGCAUAGAAAAUUUAGCUUGUCAUUCUAAUCUUGAUGAAUGUUAUCUUGUACACUCAGAGGAUUUGUUUCAGAUCACUGGAGUGCCAGAUGCAUGUAUUUAUGAGUCUAAAAAGAUUGCUACUUAUAAGAUAUUAUUGAAAAUGAAAACUUAUGAUUUCUAAGUACACGAAUGGAAAUGUGAUGUAGGCUUUCAUCUAUAACAGUAGUCCUAAGUAGAUUUCCAGUCUGAAUCAACAACUUCUGUAUUUGAAUUGUUGACAAUCUGCUAUCCAGAUGAACUUUCAAUAACAUAUAGAAUCUAUCUAAUUUGUUGUAAAUGUAAUCCCUUGUUUCUCAUUUCUUUUUUCUUUGAAAUUUCUCUAUUCUAUACUUCUUGCAUGCCCCUUAGUUUCCUACUGCUUCAGAAGAGUAAGAUGUUAUGGCAACAAAAAGAACACCAAGGAUGAAACUGGACUUUCACCAAAUGAGUAACAAUAGUUUUAACUGCGACCAAUAUUAUAUACUAACAUACUCUCCAACAUCAGUGAAUGUGUAACAACAUUGGAAACAAUAGAAAGAAAAAGACGGUUCAAAUCAUGUUGUCACCAAUGCCAACAAUAAAAUCACAUCGCAAAUCACAAAAAUAACAACCCCAAUCUAUUUGGAAAUCACUAGAAGAUUAGUGCAAGUUGUAAUAGUACUAAAAUAAUAAUAUCCUAGGACAUUCUUGCAGGACUUCAGUUCUUGUGCUCCGUUUGACUACUAGCUAAAGAAAAAUCUUCUUACAAGGCAUAGCAGAUCACUUUCUCAGUCAAAUAAAUUAUGGUUAGGUUACACCACAUAAAGUUUUUAUUCAUUAUCAAAAGUAUUUAAACCAGACAUCCAGAUAGAACAGUAGAAUUGGGGGCUGACUUGCUACUGCAAUGUUCCUAAACUUGUAAAAAGAUGAAUUAUGAAAUCUCUCUAAACAUCACGCUUCCUUCAGUUGAAUUUUGAUUUAGUGGGGUAUCCAAUAAUUCUAGCUAGAUUUAGUUGAUUUCAGGUGUUAAAUAGUGGCUAGCUAUGGGCUAUUACUGUAACACGUAUUCAGCAGGAUCCAGAAAAUGUUGCAGGUUUAGCAAUGUGACUUUGAAGGUAUAAGGUAGUUUUUUGGACUAACCUUUGCCAUUUGUCACUCAAGAAGCAUAUCAAAUUCGCAAGAUAAUCAAUCAAAUUACAAAUUUCUGUGCAGUCAACCCAAAUUAAAAAGUUCCAGAUCUAAAAUCAAAAAUGAUAAAUGGUACAUACCUCAGGAACCUCGUCAUGGGGGCAGUGACCUGCCGGGCUAAUCUCAUAAUAUGGUACUUCUGGCAAUUGUUUUUUCACUUUAAGGCCCCAAACAGGCCUAACCCAGGGGUCUUCUUUGCCAUACAUGAGACAGAUGGGAAUGUCUUGCAUUUGGCACCUACAUUCAGAAGAAAAAAUUAGAGACAAAACAGUAAGCAACUUGUGUAUGUUAAGGGCAUAAAGGUUACAAGCUUUGAACAAUUCUUCUGCAUGGAUAUGGAAGAUUUUGACUUGCAUCUAAUAGUUUGGUUCCACUGAUACCUCGACAAGGCCUCCUGGAAGGAUAGCUGUCCCUUGGGAGCAAACAUUAUUGAGGCAAAUGAUGCAGCUGCUGCAGGAUGUUGUGUUGUUUCAACUAUGCGAGAGAAGACUUUGUCGACCUUUGUAGAACGGUCAACGUAAACUUGCUUUAUUAGCUCCAGUAUGCUACUGGGUUCACUUAUCUUCUGCCAUCUAAAUCAUAGAAAAGACCAUCUCACCUCAUUCUUAUUUAAAUAUAAAAAGAAUGGAAAUAUUUAAGCUUAUAAGUUCUCCUAUGUAUAUGACUUGAUGAUUAGAAAACAUCAAAUAAAAGCAUAGAAAAUGAAUUUUGCUUUUACCCUAAACUGACAGUAAUCAUAUUUGUAAGAUUGCAAAAGUUGCAAAAUAUUUGGGUUUCCACCGGAGUCCAGAAAAAUAUAGACCCAAAAUGGUGUGCUGAUCCAAUGGUUGGAUAUGGAUCUAUUAUCAAACCAUCCAUGGAAUCAGGAACGAUGUCAAGAUGACCCACUUGGGGCCCAGAUAGCUGGAGUACACCAAAUGGUUCCUCUAAUUGACUUGACCAACUUAAUCCAUACUACAAAUGAUUGAGACCAUUUUCCAGAAUUGUUUCUUAAGCAAGUCAGGCAGGAAAAAAAAUCCCUGGUCAAACCUGAGUCAUUAGAGAACCCAGAGCAUAAUAAAUUGUUCAAAAAAUUUAUGUUAUAUACUUCAUUAGAAAAUUAUUCUAAUAUGGAACUGACCACAACCAUCUGUGGAGAAAUCAACUCAUGUUGAUACAUACAUAUGCAGAAAAAACAGAAACUUGCAAUGAUUUGCAGUCAUAAAAUGAUGAAAAGAUCAUAGUAAGUUACUAAUACCUACACGAACUCAGUGAGCUUUCUCACACUUGAAGGUAGAGGAAAUGUCCCAGCCCAUGGAAACAAUUUGGACAGCCUAGGUGAUCUAGUGGGGUUAGGGAGGAAUCCCCAAAAUGGUGUUGCAUUGAGCAAUGUAACUCCUCUUACUAGCUCUGGGUUGUUUGCUGCAAAGUACAUAGCAACAAAGCCUCCUAGAGAGUUCCCAACAACAUAAACUGGUUCACCAAUAACCUGUAAAAUGAUAUCAAAUAUAAAGCUUGAUUUCAACCAUGAAGUCGAUUAACUACAUAUAUGAGUGAUACAGAAUCAGUUAUAAGUGGCUUCAAGUCCGUGUUAUUGCACGUUUAAUAUCAGUAUGCAACUCCACUAACCAGACAUGUAAGGACCAAAGAUAAUGAGUUCAGUGGUACAGUAUAGAGCUUUCAUGAUGGCGAAAUUGGUUACUUUGCAAACUAGGUAUUUGCGGACGUGAAGAUAUAAAAGGUUAAAUAAAUAUUCUAAAAAAAAGUUCUUGAAUUUUCUAAUAUUAGCUCUUAAUUAAUGGAGGAAUGAGAGCUAGCAAGUUAAGUAACAAUUCCUUAUGCAUUUAUCGAGAAAAGUUAAAGAUCAUCUGGCACGAUCUAGCUAAGAGCUUUUUUAACUAAAGAAAAGACCCUCAAAAUAGUUUGUUCUAAGUAAGUUAAAUAAAAAAUUUAGAACCUGCAUAAAUAGAGAGUCUAGCAAGUAUACCUGUUCAAUGAAAUGCUUAACUUGGUCUUGCCAAAGAUCAACAGAGUAGACUAGGUUUUGCGCCCAAGGCUUGGAAGCCUCUCCAAAACCCCACACUGCAUUGCUCUCUUCAGAAUUCUCUCUUGGCUUGUCAGAAGGAGCUGGAUCUUCGGUCGGCAAUGACAGGCCUUGUCCUAGGAAAUCCAAUGCCCACACUCUAUAAUCACGGCCCAGAUCUCUCAACUGCUUCUCAUAGUGAAAAGACCCAACCCCAAAACCAGGAAGAAAGAGCACGUUUGGCGCAUUAACAUUCUCCAACCCAGAUUUCUCAUAAUGCACCGAUAAUUUUGGCUUCCAUUCCCAAAAACAACUACUGAUUGGAGAACCAGGAUUGCCCUCAGAUUCAUCAGGUAAACUUGGAAUUAAAACCUUCUUGACCUCGUCGACCUUCCUGGGAAUGUCCCUCAGACCAACUUUUCCAUCCGUCACAUAAUAAUUAUAAGUUUCAGUUGUAUUCUCAGCAACGGCACAAUUCCGGAGGCCUUCGAGCAGACUUAACAAUCUAGUCUCUUCUUUUUGAUAGAGAUUCUCAACCUUAUUACUGUCCUUGUGAGAACUCCCUAAACCCCAAGAGCGUUUGGUUGCAACACAGAAAAUUCCAGUUUUUCUAUGGGGAAAGAGCUUGGAAUUCUUCAAACUUCGGCUAUUAUCUACAACUUUCCAGUUCAGAGUAGCAGAGUGAUGGCACGGCACAGAGGUGCAGCUAAUAGAAAGCAAUUCCAUCUCUCGAAGGCUACUUGCCCUGCCAGAAUCAACUUACCCUUUCAACCAACAAGGACCCAAACUCAUAUUAAACUAAGAUGAUUAAACUGGCAAAUAGAAUCAAAGAACUAUGUGCCGCAAAUAGGAUCUUAAAAUUUACAGAAAAGGCAAGUUAGUCGUAUGAAUCCACUAAGCCCGAAACAAUACAAACAAAUCUAAAGCCUCAGAAGAAUAAAAUAUAUGCCCGAUUCUUGAGUAAUAGUAACACGGCUCCUUGGAAUUCUAAUUAGAACUUUAGAAUACAAGAAAAAGAUAAGAACUUGUUGGAAAAAAACGGAUUUUGAGCAUGUCGUCCAAAAAAAAAAGGAAAAAAAAGAAAAACACGAACUUUUUUUCCUUAAACAACCACUAGGUAGUAAGAAAUUAUUUUGGAACGAAUUUAAAAGAGGGUUUCAGUUAUACCUCUAGUUCUUAGGUCGACGGAUCGAUCAAACUCGAUUUAUUCGUUAAUCUUCUUCUCCUCCUUCUAAAGUUUCCACCUUCGCUUCCAAAGAAAGAGGGAAAAGCCACCCCCGAGGGGACAAGAGCAGCUCGGAGAAUUUAAAGAGAAUAAAAAAAAAGAAAAACAUAUACAAAACAUGAUGGAACGUUGUGGAGAGCGAGGAAGCGGCUAGAGAGAUAGAGAGAGGUGUAGUUUCAGUGGGACCCACAUGUCAGAGGCUUCUGAUUUGUCUGAUAGUAUGUUUGCUGUUUUAACCAUUACAUGCGGCUGAGAACAGGUGGGGCAGUUUUAAUCGUGCACGUUGCGUGCAGCCAAGACAACGGGAGGAGGGAGAUUUCUUUGCGUGCACCCGCGAGCGGUUGAUUUUUUCCCGCGCCCAUUUGUCUGUUUGCGAACAGGCUUUGGCGGAAUGGUCGGCCAGGGACUGGGCCCGGCUCUGUAAUAUUUAAAUUAAAUACUCAACCGAAUCUUAGCGUCCACAUUUCUCUAGCUAUUGGGUCGUAGGUUCCUAAAAAAAUUGGAUCUGGAUAAUUAGCAUCUGGAGUUAUUUUUUUGGAUUUUUUUUGCAUAAAUAUUUUUUUAAAAAAUUUAAAUUUAUGUGAAUACUCUCUUAAAAUUUAUAUUUAUUUUUGUAAUCUUAUAAAAUAUUGUUUUUUAUACAAAUAUCCCUAAUAUAACGAUUCUUCUAAUACCGUUAAUAAAAAAUAUUUAUUUUAUUAAAAAUAAAUAGAACUUUAAAAUUACUUUUGUUUUCCAUCAUGAUCGCCUUAUAAAUAUUUUUUUUUUUUGCAUAUCUACUCAUUAAAAAUAUUUUAAUCAUUUUAAUUUGAAAUCGUUAAUUUUUUAACGACGUUGGAUGGUGUGAAUACAUAUGCAAAAACAAGAAUAAAAAAAAUAGAAUAGUAAAACAAGUAUUUUAUAAGGGUAUAUAUGCAAAUAUCAAUUUCGGAAGGAUAUUCAUGCAAAAUUAGAGAUUAGGUGGGUAUUCAUGCCAAAAAAAAAAAUUCUUUACUAAAAAAAAUUUAUUUGAAUAAGAGCAAUGUAAACCAUACUGUUCAAAAUCUUAGUAUUUAUUUUUAUUUUCUAGAAAAAGUUAGACUUCACUGCUCCAUUUUAUGCAAAACAUUUAAUUAGUGUUUUCGGAGGUGAGUAGGCUUAUAUUAGGUGAGUUUAAUUAUUUGGAUAGUUAUUUGAAAGUAAUAUUAAUAUUUGGUAAAUUUAGUUUGAAUAGCAUCUUUUUUUUUCAAAUAAAUACAGUUAUCUCAAAUAAUAAUUGUGGUUUUGCUGUUAUGCUAUUUUGAUGCCAUCUAAGGAUAAAAAUGUUGUUAGAAUAUUGUAUGAGUAUAAUACAUAAAAAGAUGGUUUUUCUAGAAAUUGACAAGUUCGUUCAUCCAAUAUUAGUGUACAAUAAUAUAUUGAAAAUAAUGCUAACAUAUAAACAAGAAAAAAUGAAUAAUAUUGAUAUACUAAUAUUUAUAUAUAUUGAAGGAAGAAAAGAUCAAGCAUGAAAAAUGAUUACAUUAAUUAAUCUUUUAUUUAAGAAAAAAAGAGGAAAACCUGCAACUUUUGGUUGCUAACCAGGGCAGUAUGACAACUAGGGCACAGGGCCUGUUAUCAGAUUAGGUUUAAUCAAGAUUAUAAUAAACUUAUAUCUAGAUCUACUAACAUUUUGGGUCUAAAUUUUGUUUCAGACCAAACCAUUGAAGGAUCAAGUCAUGUCAGGAUUCAAGUAAUAAAAUAUCACAAGAUCAUUCAUGUCUUUGGCUUGGGUUUGAGUAUGUCAAGAUAAGUAGGAAUGCAAGCCAAGAACGCACUACCCUGUGGUAUCUUGAUAUUGAACCAUAUCAUACCAAAUUCAGUGACGAUUGGCUUUAUUAGAGAUAGGUCAGCUAUCAUCAAGAAGGAGAGAGAUACUAUGGAGGCAUCGAGAAUUAUGUUGGAGCAAGACCGACAAGAAUCCUUGGAUGACCUCCGAACCUAUCCAAUUCUUGAAAGAGGAAGUACACUAGGUGAAACUUGACUCAGAAGUGUCUGAUAUGGAUAACUUUUAUAAAAAUUGGGCAAUACUAAGUUAAGUCGUAGUACUAGAUAUAGAUAUAUACACAUUAACCAAAAGAUAUUUUUAUCUUGGUUAGCACAGAUUUAAUAUGAAGCUCAAAUGACUUUCAUGUUCAUCAUCGAGUUAUCCCACAAUACACCUUGAAUCACCUUAAUAAGAGCUCAAAUAAAGAAGUUAUGGUCAUUUUACAAGAGACCUAUCAUGAUUGCUGAUACAUUUUAAGACAAUUAUAAGAAUAUCAUAGCACAAUAUAUUAUUUUAGCGAUGAAUUUUCUAAUAUUUAUAGUCAAAUUUUUAUGUCUUUCUUCUAUAAAUACUUGUUAGAGUCCUAGUUAAUGCUCUUAAGGUAAGAUUUAGCCGUAGAAACUUUGCUUCACAAGUUCGUCGAGUUUGAAUUGAGUUUUGAGAAAUCCUAACUUUUAUUUAGUAUAAAGCCCUGGAAUCUACAAAUACCCCCUUUAUAUACGCAGUUUCAUACAACCAAUGAAAUCUUUUCUCUCUUGAGUACAUGUUAAAUUAUAGUUGCUCCAUUUUUUCUUUUUUGUUUUGUGUCGUGGAUCUUGCACAAGCUCAAGUGGAUUCUAGGGAGUAACAAUAUAGCUAGUUGGAGUCCCUCGAGCCUCCAAGGUAUUAGCUGGUAGAAUCAUUGGUAAUAAAGAGGCCCUUUAGUAGUGAUACUAUAAAGCAACUAGUUAUCCUUAACUUAGGCAUCUCAUAUCUAGUUUAGAUUUUGAAAUUUUAUUUUCUUUCUUUUAAUCCUAAAUAUCUAUAUCUUCUGGUCUAGUUAGAACUAUUUUGGUUUUGCCAAUCAUCCGCUAAGGUGCCGCUUAGCGGUGCCGCCCUAACACUGCUUGCGUUAGUAUGGUAUUAGAGUAAGUUCUUUCAUAGUCAAAACUUGUGAUGCAUGCGUGCUACGCUUAAAAUUUGAGUCUCAAAUAGUUUACAAUUUACUAUUCUUAUUUGAUUAAUAAAUUCUUUUAACUUUAGCCUCUUUCGAAUUCCUAGCUAUUUCAAAUUUCUUCUAUUUUCAAAAUACAAAUCGUAUUCAAACUCCUAAGUAUUAAAGUAUAAUUGUUAUUUUCUUUUAUAUUUGAGUAAGUUGCAAGUGCCUUAGAACCCUAUGUCAUAUUCGAAGUAGAGAAUAGCCGAGCUUGAGCACCCCAUGGUCUCAUAUUUACACAAUCUAUGAAAGCUUUUCUCUCUUCAUUACAUAUUAACUCGUGAUUGCUCUUUUUUUUUUUAACUAGGUGAAUUCUAUGCAAGCCUUGAUAGAGCUUGUAGAGUCCUAUGGAACUUCUCGAAGAUGUCAGUUGAUAGAGCCCUUGGCAAGUUGGCAGUAGUAGGAUGAGAAAGUUACUAGUUGUUCUUAGUUAGGCAUCUUAUAUUCAAUGCUAGUUUAGAUUUUAAAAUCUUAUUUGCAUUGAAAAGUUUACAAAUGAAAUACUAAUUUACAUGCUCCUCCAAAAGAUUAAAUCAUCAACAAUAACCACUUUAUAGUUAACCAUCUAAAAAUAAUAAUUAAAUUGAAAAAAAUAUGCUUAAUUUAAGUCAAAUCAAAUAUCCAAAUAUGUUCUAAAUAUGUGAUUAUUUUUAAAAUCAAAGAGGUGUGGGUGGAGUCUGAGAGCAGGGUGGGAGUCGGCAGCUGGGGAGAGGAGACGAGGAGGAAUGUAAAGAAAAGGGAAGGUGGAGUUAGAGGGAGUUGGGAGGGGAGGGACGAGGAGGAGGGGAGGGGUUUGGGUAGGAGGAAGAUGGUGGACAAAAGCCUUUCAUUUCCAAUUCUUUAUUCCACAUCAUUUCCAUCUCAUUAUUGUUAUUUUACAUGCCAUUUCCACGGAGGCACUUUAAUAGCAAAAUGAGAUGCCAGUUGAUGGCAAGCUAAUAUUGCAACACUUUAUAAAGUACCCAUACUCAAUUGCAAAAAUUGAAAAUUGAAACAGAUGCUUAAGUAUAGAAUUUUUUUCAGUAAUUAAGCCUUAUUUUUAUCAUAACCACUUUAAACAUCUAUAUAGUAAUUGUGUUAUAUCAAGUCAAACAUGAUACUUCAUUAAUAAAACACUUUGAACAUACAAUGUUUGUGUUAUUUUUAUUAUAACCGCUUUAAACACCCAUACGUUAAUUGUAUUAUUUUAAGUCACCGAUCGUAUUUUAUUAUAGGAUUUUGAAUAUGUAUGUAAGUAUGUUAUUCCUCUUGCUACUUUCAGUUUCUACGCCAAGGGAGGUGGAGGUUAAGUGGCGACGGUGGUGGCUGGCUUUGACAGAAACAAACUAGUUCUUUCUCCAGCAUCGUUACAUAUUUUUCAGCAUCAGAUGACAAGGGAUGAGAUGAGAUGCUACCAUUCACAGAAUCAAAGGCAUGCCUACAACUGCUUGUGUUACAACAUAAUCAUAUCGAUGCCAGGAACAAAAAAACAUAUGAAUAGAUGAAAAUAGUACUCGAACUACCAUAUACCAUCAAGAUUCAUUUUCUAUACAAGAAUCGUAGUCCGGAUGUUUUCAAAAAAAGGAACUAUGGAGACAUAGUGAGAUGAGGGGAAAUUAGUUGAACUCAAACAGAGCGAAGAAAUGGAAGAUCUGAAAUGAUAUGCGAAAGCGGUUUGCGCUCAUAAAGAGAAUUUGUCAGCAGUAAUCAUAAACUGGGCUUCUUCACAAGUUGUAAUCAAGGCAUGCAGCUCACCAGGAUCCAUAAAUAAACAUAAUAUGUUAUAUAUUUAAUGGGAUCUGACCAAGAAAGUAGAGCUUCUAUAUCCUUUAAAUCAUCAUUAGGUAUUAGUUCAGUCAGUUGAAGCUCCAAACUGUGCAAGUUAGUACAAGGACAAUGUGAAGUGUGACAUUGCAGAGCCAAGUUGCGGUAUCUUGUAAUUUAAGUGACAUGGAGUGUUAUAAAAAUGUGCAAGUGGCUUAGAUAUGCCUGUUGUUGUUUGUCAGCAGACAAGAUCUCUCAGAACUAAAGGGUUACCUAAUAUUCAAUCAGUCUAUUUAUCUUUUUUAACAGAAGAAACUAUUACUUCCAUCACAUUACAACUACACGGUCUGGCCUCAUUUCUCUGGUUAUAUCAAUGGCAUAUACAUACUUUUAUGCAUAUUUGAUUGGCAUUAUGGUAUUAAAUAUUCACAACAAAACAAAUAAAGUUAAAUUGUUUAUUCACUUUAGCACAUAUUACCUUUACAUAGUUUCCUCUUGCUACCUGAACAAAGAUAUAGCAGAUUGAUGUAACAAAAAAAAGAAAAAAAAAGAACAAAGAUACAGCAGAUUGACACUUCUAUCAUGAAGAGAAUCUGAUCAAUUUCUUUUGCCUGAAUUCAGUUUCCAUAUACAGAUAAUUUAAUGUUUUAUACAGACACAGGGUAACGGAUAUUCUUUAUAUAAUAGUAACCGUAUAGUUUGUGACAGUAUCAGAUCAAAUUAUUUUUGAUGGUACUAUUGAUUUAGAUAAAUUCACAGUCUUAGCUUGGUCUAGCAUACAUUCUAAUUUAUAUAACUUACCAGUGAGUAAAAUGCGAACAAUAAUAACUAUUUGCAUAGUAAUACUGAUUUGACAACAAAAAUUGUCAGAUUGGAUGUCUCCAAAUAUGAGGAACUGAACGAGAGCAGUCCUGGAAGUGUUCUUUUAUUACAAUUCAGGAUCUCAUACAUAUAGGGAACCCUGACAAUUGACUAAUUGACCAAUACCUCCCAAUGCUUAGGGGAAAUACAUCUUGAACAUUCCUAUAGAUAUAUAAUAAUCUUACAGUGAUAGCAAGAGCAAAUAUAAUUUCACUAUAGUCCAUGAGCAAUGCUAAAUCUUGGGCCACUUUUAUUGAGCAUGCUUAUAAGCUUGUAUCAAUUUUUACAGACAAAAAAACUAUUAUUGAAAAGAAUUAGAGCUGAUAUUUCCUUUUUCUUCCAUUCUUCUGUUCUAGUACUCUGCACUCUGUUGUUGAAAAGGUUGAGAGAUCAUGGUCACAAAUCCAGCCACGAAAUCGUUCAAUUCUUACCAAUAAGCCCACUUGUGAUGUCAAGAAUAAAUCUAACAUCCUCCAGUCUCUGUCUAUUACUACCAGAUCUUCCACAACAGAUUGCCGUAUAUUAGUACAAAUCUUUGGACAAAUCUUUAGUCGAUUUAUGGUAACAAAAAAAAGCUGUUUGUUGCCAAAUUAAUCCAAAUAUUCUGUGUUGCUUUGAAACAUCUUUUAAGCAGAGUUUGCAUGAUCACUUGCUUCUAGUUCAAUACCCACUCCCCCUCCUCGAGUGCUUUUAGCACUUAAUACCCAUGAAAGGGACUUUGCUUCAGUUCAAGGUGAUUCCUAGAACCUGGAACAGUAAAUUAACCUACACCACACACUAACCAUCUGGAAACCAAAAGAUAUUCUGUUUCCUUCCUUGCCUACCAGGAUAGAGCAGUAACACAAUUCUAAAUAAUGCUGGAGAAAAAAAAUUCUGAAGUAUUUAAUAGCUUGCUCCCAUGAUGACCUAAAUUAUUGCAUAAGACAAUAUAAUAACAUAAUUCUAAAAUAACGCUUGAGAAAGAAUUUCUAAAGUAUUUAAUAGCUUGCUCACAGGAUGACUUAAAUUAUUGUUUCAAGUUAAUAACCCCUUCAGCAACCUCCACGCCAUCUAGUUAAGCCAAGAGUGUGCCCUGAAAAGCAUUUGAAGAUUCUGCCAAACAAAUGACAUACAACCAUUGUAAACUCCAUGGUGUAAGUUACGUUCCCAGACAUCGCCUAACACUAGAGACUUCAACUAAAAAGCAUGUUAUUCUCUUCCAAAAGGGGGGAAAAUCUAUAGAAUUAGAUCCCAAUCUUGGAUUCUAUAUGACCUAUAAGUUGGAAAAGUUCUUCAAAGCAAAAUAUUGUAUUAUGUUAGAAGCAAUCAUCUUGGGACAUACAGGGAUGUCUUUUGCAAGCCAAAAUUAUGAACAGAGAUUUCUAGCUACAAAAGAGGAUUGCAUAAUAUAUAGCUCAGAUAUUAAACAGAUCCAAUAUUAUGUCUCAGUAUUUCCCCUGUAGUUGAUAAACAUAAUAGGGAUUUCCGCCACUUGAAAUGAAAAAUAAUAUCUCAUAUAGCCUCUAAGAUAAUAGAAAAUAUCAAUACAGUUCUAUAAGAUAUAACAAGUUGGCAAUUUAUAUUUGAAGAACUAAAAAGUCCAAAAAAGUUAAACAUAUGAUAAUACCACUGAACAACUCAGGCAAUCAGAAUUUCUAAAAAACAGAUUUUAUUACACGACUACCAUGUACAUCGAUCCCAAAAAAAGACAUUAGAUUAUUAUGUACAUAGAAAGCUUCCAAUUCACAUUACAGGCAGGAAGCAUGCGCCUUCUGUGGAACAUUAUUCUUAUAACAAGUCUGUCAUCAUUUCUUAUACUUAGUAUCGAAAAAUCUUCACUCCGGAUGCUAUUAACACCAGUGACAAAGCAGUUCAAAAGAUAGCUCAGAAAUUAUAUGAGAACCAAGGAAAUAACAAGAUGCUGAGGAGCUCAAACCUUGCAAGUUCAGCUAAGCAAUUCACUCAGAUUGGGAAGCAGAUGAUACCAAACUCCCCACAACACCCAUCGAAUUCACAGCUUCAGAAAUCUCCAAGUUCUGCCUGAUAUCCCCAUUUGGAUUGAUCUGACAAUCCACAACUGCAGGUCCGCAGCUCCCUUCCCAACCAGCCACCUCCCCAUUCCCACCAAAACAUCGUGCGGCAUUAUUGCACCUUAAAUCAACACCACUGCAUUGCUUCUGGAAAGGGAAGGUACCCAAUUCAGCAUCAAUCUUUGCUCGGAGAUCCACGAGAAGGCUUCUCAAUCUAACCACUUCAGCCUCAAGCGCUGCUUGCCCCUGCAAUCUCCUCAAGAGUUGCUGGUUCGCAUGGCGCAAUUUCUUAACCUCCUCCUCCAAAUAAGCUGCUUGGGCCUUCUUCUUUUCCCGAUACUUCCGAACAGCCUCUCUGUUCCCCAAUGGCUUCCGUGAUGUCUUCAGCUCUUCUUCUCCUCCCCUCUCUCCAUCAGUGGUGGCAAAAACCUGCAUAUGCGUGUGGUAGCAUGUAUGGGUAUGCAUGGCAGCUGCAGGUCCUGGAGGGUUACAGGUGUGGGUGUGGGUGCAUGUCCUACUGUUCCUCAAGUACUCGUCAAAGCUGUUAGUCAUCUCAGGGUUUGGCAACAGGAGGUGGCUUGAAAGGUCUACUUCUCCAUCAUCCAUCCUUACUGCAUAUGUUGCUUGAUUGAAAAGAAAACUAAAUUUAUCUUGGCAACUCUUUCCACUCUUUUUUUGAAGAAUUAUACCAAACAGUUGCCUUGCAAAUUUAAGUGAGCCCAGAACCCCCCCCAAAAAAACCCACCUUUUCUCAAACAGAGAUUCACCGUAUGAGAAAACUAUGAAAAUCCAAACGAAAUAUCUCCAUGAAACCACAAAUAUUAAAUCAAAGUGCAAACGAAAGAGUCUCGUAUCAAUCAAGAAGUCCCGCAAGACGAUCCCUUUCCUGUCAUUAUUAAUUCAUCCAAAUUAGAGGCCUAACUAAAACCCAGCUUCACAACUACAAAUACCAAAUUUAUGGAAUUCAGAACUAUAGAUUCAGAAACAAAUAGAUAGAAAAGUUGGUCCGACUCAACUCAACUCCAACUAGGCCUUAAUCCAAAAAUAGAUAGAAAGGUCUACUCACUAGGAUUAAAACAAACUGCAACCAGAGGAACAGAACCCUAAUUUCAUCACAGUAUUACUGGUUCCACAACAUCUAAACGAAAAUAAUGGAUCUGUGAGAUUGGAGAGAUAAUCAGAUGGGGAUUCUCCCUGAAGAGACGAAAUCAAGUAUCAAAAUGAGACCUUGGCGCAAAAAUUUAUCGACUGGCUCAGAAUAGGGGCACCAUCAAGAGCUUCCAAGUGGAGGGCAAUAUCACAGAGGAGACAAAAGAGUCAACUUUUUCUCCUCAUCUGUCUUUCUAUUGCUCUUAGGGAACAGAAUCUGUUAAAGAGGAGAUGAGAGGUGGAGGUCGGAGGCUUGAUUUGAUUGAAGUGGAAAAGGGAAAGGAGGAUUCGGAGGAGAUGAAGUUCCGCACCUGUCAAUACUAUAUUUGUAGCUUCUUAGGGAUAGAUUUCAAGCAAACAUGUCUGUACUAAAUCUAGUAUCAUUAGGUCGGAUUUUGUAAUUUAUAUUAUCGCUGUUUAGAUUGCAUACACGUCAAAGCUUUUGCAUCUAAUUCCCUUUCUAGCAUUAUGAAAGCGAUAAAAUGACCAACAUGCCCAAUGCCAAUUGCCAUGGACUAAGAGGUGGUGAAGGAUAAAAAGGUCAGUUUGCUUCUCUAAGUAUUGGGAUCAUCAAAAGGGCUAUACUAUAGUAGUAGCUCAGAAGGCUGACCCCGAAAAGUUGGCCAAUUUGCAGCUUUCCAUUGCUGCUUUUUUUUCCCCCCUCUUUUACAAAGUGUUUUGGUUGAGGAAGACCGAUGGUUGGAAUAGCAACAGUUACCCCCAUCGGAAGCUAUUGGAAAAUGCUUUCGAGUUGAGGUCAAAACCUGCAACCAAGAAAAGAUUUCUUUUUUUGAGAAGUGGAAACAAGAAAAAAAUUUAUGGCCAUGUAUCAUAUGUAAAAAUUCCAGAUUGAAACUAAUCCCCUUUGUAAAUAUUGACAGCAAUGGCGUUGCCAUGUCGACGGUGGAUGUGGAAAUGGCGGCGACGAUAGAAGGAGACGGUCGUAAAAAUAUGAGUUUAUUAUUUUUGAAAAUAGUGACAGAAUUUUUUAUAUUUUAUAGAAAGAAUUGUUAAAAAUAGAAAAUAAAGAUAAUAGCUCUAAAUAAAAUUUAAUUUUGUGAUUUAUUUUUUAAAAAUAAAGACUAAAAAUAAAUGAGCAAUACCAAACAAACCCUAACAUCAAGUUUUUAAUAAAGGUUUAAGUAUUCAAAUUAAUGGUGGACUAUUCAAAAUGCAAGUCUAAACUGUUAAAUAUGAUUUAGACAACCAAAAAAUCUACAAAUAAAAUUAUAAAAUGCUUUGGUGGUCAUGAAAUUGUAUAAAAUGGCUGCCAAAAAAAGAGAGUUUUUAAUUUAAUCUUAUACUUUGCUAGAUAAGUUUGUUCUUGUCUUAGUGAUGGCACCUCUUUUCUUUGCAACCAUAUAUUUUGGGUUCGAAUCUUAAUUCCCCAAGUAUUUGGACUUGGGUAAUUAAAGUAUGGGAUGGUCUCCUUGCUUUCUCUUAGAAAAUCUUUUACUUUGCUAGGAUCUACUAACAAAAUCUGCUGAUUUCAAAUUUAAUGUUUUUAGAACUAGUAGAUUAUAAUUAACAAAGUAUAUUUUUAGUUUUCAAUUAUAUACUUUAGUAAUUAAAUAACAUGAUUGGAGUAUAAAGAAAAGGCUUUGCAUUAAUUGUCAAAUUCAUUAACUAGAGUAGCAAAAUGAAAUCUUUUUUUGUUUUCUUUUUUUUUUCUUUGGAUGGAAAUGAGAUCUCGAUUGUUGAAUAUGAUCUAUAUAGUUUAAAAUGUUUACAGACAAAAAUAAUGCAUUUUGGAAAAUUCUUGCAUAAACAUCAAAAUUGUCCGAAAACAAAUUACACAUUAUAUAUGUUAGAAUGCACGAUCCUAGUCUUACAUCAAAGGAAUAUUAUGAUCAGUAUUUGUAUAAAAUAUUAUGAAUACUAUGAUUGGUACUUGUAUAAAAUGUUGUUUUUAGUUAUGUUGGUUGAGACAGAAUAAUAUUAACUUGAGAUAUCCAUGGAUACGAUAUUAGAAUGAAUGAAACUUCUAUUCUUUCCUUUUCUUUUCACAAGAAUUAUUAAAACUGAAAUAUUAGUCAUUUAGGUUGGUGAUAGAUGUCAAGAUGAACAAAGAUCUAGACUUAUAUGGGUAGAAAGACGUAGAAGUUAGAAAAGAAUAGACACAUAAAUAUUAAAACCAAUAUUAGUUACUAUUAUUUACUAAUUUUAAAUCAGUUAGUAAAAAGCUCAGUUAAGAUUGUAAAAGAAAGAAGAAAGGUCCGAACUAAUAUACUGAUCAAGUUUUAACUGAUACCAUGAGAUAUUUUGCUAAAAAAAAAAGGGUCAAAACUUUUAAUAUCUCAUUUUUAGUUUCUUAAACCAUUGAUUUCAAUUUUGAUACAAUAAUCAGAACAUCUUGGUUAUGUUCGUGACUCCUCAACCUAGAUGUGAAUCAUGGCGUUGAACCCACAUAGAAUCAAGAAAAAAUUAAAUUAAAAUUUUUUGUUUCAAAACACGUGGCACUGCCACUUUUUUUAAGACUUUAAAAGUAAAAAUAAAUUAAGUUUUAAAUUUUAAAAUUUAAACAUUUUUUUUUAAAGUUUUCGAAAAAAAAAUGCUCACAACGGUUGGCUGUACGUCGAUGGUUUAAAAUAAUUAUUCCUUUUAUUUUGUUCUUUUAUUUUGAAAAUAUCCAACAGUCAACAUCCAGAAAGAUGAUGUAGACCUGUCCAUGAUAGAAAUAUUCAACAUUCAGCACUAGGAUCAGAGCCCAGGAUGUCUGAAGACUUCGGAAGGGGCCCCAUGGUGACUUACUGUGCUCGUUGGACCAUUAACCGACCUCAUAGAGAUGGACGGUCCUUGCAUAAAUAUAAUGGCUUAAGGUCUACAAUAACCUCUAGGUAGUUUCCCUGGUGCUCAGAGGCUGGUUGACCAAAGCGCACUUUGCGAUGCAAAGUAUGUGCCUGUAUGACUCAGUGGAUAAAGGGCCAUUGGUCGGAAAUGAUGCAAAGGAAAAGAAUUCCAUGAUGAAUUUUUGCUUAAGAUCAAUUUUGAUCAUAGUGUGAAGAACAAAGGAGCAAAAGGAGGAGUAGCUUUUGUCAUUAGAGGCUUGGAAUUCAUCGGUGCACGUAGCUGCCACCUGUACGAUGUCUUAGUCCUUGGGGAAGAGUUGAGAGGAGCCUCGAAGGACUUGAGGUUUGCCAUGACAAUACUUCGGGACUCAUUCUAGAGGGAAAUUCAUUCCCUGUUAUUGGAUGGGUGUCUAAGCCGGAGACAUAUGGAGGAUGAUUAAAAAUUUUGACAGCUUCCAAACAGUCCAUGUUUACCGGAAAACGAACAACGCAACUGAUUAAGCAACUUCAUUUAGGGCAGAACACACAGAAAAUAUUGGAUGGGUGAUCAAGAGGACUAUUCUAGUGCAAUUACAGGGUUCUAUGUAUUCUGACAAUAUUGGAUGUAUCCAUACUAGAUUUGUAUGAGUUGUCCAUUCCAAUAACUUAAAAUAAAAUAUUGUCAAAUUUUCAGCAAUAUUUUAAAUAAAUAAUUCAAAUAAUUAUAUUUUUUUUAUCCAUUCGUUAGUCAUUUAUGACCCACUUACAUAAAAGCUAUCAGUAUAGCAAAAUAUAUUUAUAUAAAUUAAUAAAUUACUUUUAAAUAAAUUAUUAGAACAUAUAUUUUUUAUUAUAAAUAAAUUGUAAUAGUCUCAAUUUCUUGUUAAGUAAAUAUAUUUAAACACAAUGACACCAUUAAUUGAUUAGUUUGGAGGAAAUUAAAUUAUUAUAUAAGAAACAAAAAUUUGGAUUUAGCAUAUUUGUACAUUAAGAUAUGAAAAGAGUGGAAAUAUUUCCAUCAAGCAACAACGAUUUCCGAUUAUCUUCACUCAAUAAUUUAAUGUGGAAACAAAAAUACUAUCCUUCUAGUAAUAUUAAACUUCAUAGAAUCUAUCAUUUAUUUUACCAUUUUACCCAUCCUCUUUUCGUACCAAAUAUAAUAAUCUAAUAUAAAAUUUAUUUUUUUUUAAUUAGAUUAUCUUCAACCAAACGAACGUAUAGGAAUAAAUCACUUGGUUGGUUGGGGCAUGCUAAUGGUUUUUCUGUUCUAGUUAAGCUGUACAAUUUUCUUAUGCAUAGCGUCAAGUACUCCACCGAUGUGACAGUCAGAAAUUGAUAUGGUACAUAGGAAGAUCUUUGUGGACUGAGGAGGAGAGAAAAUUACCAGCUUAAUUUAUCAUUUUGGUAAAGAAAAAUUGCUAAAGAUUAUUAUCCAGAUCUCCACUCAAUUCACAGGUGAUUGGAUAAAUAAUAGAACAGAAAAACCAAACCCUUCAAAAUCUUGCACAUGCUAAAGAUUUAUGUAAGCUUAUUAUUAUGUCAACAUUAAUUGCAAACCAAACCCUUCAAAAUUUUGUACAUUUUCCAUUAUAUCAAUAUUUAUUAUUCAUCAGAGUCACAAAGUAGUAGAGUUUUAUAUUAAAGUUGCUACCUCAUCUAAAAUUUAUGUCUCUUCAUCAAUAUACUGCCGAUUCUUUUCUUUCUUGUAUUCUUAUGUGGUGUGAUUGCUCGCUGAGACUUGUAGCAUAGGGGUAGAAAGUGAAGCAACAGGCAAGUCAAGAUCACUAGCGCAAGCAUAAGCCUAUAAUAUGAUGGCCUAACAUUCGCACAAAGUUUUCGACGCCAUACACAAGUCCCAAGCAAGCCUUAAACAGGAUCUUACAGAAAUUAAUAAAACUAUAAAUUUAAAUAUUGAGUAAGAUAUCUAACGAUUCAAAAUCAAUUUGAAAGACCAAGGUAGGGUAACAACCUAGACCGGGCAAAUUUGCAGUGCAUUUGUUUCACACGAGACCUAAAAAUUUUACCGAACAUAACAACAUAAAAUCGAAGGGUGUACAAUGAAAUGUUUUCACAAGGCCUUGGCCGGAGAUUUCGAUGAAGAUCCUUCGAUGAUUAAAUUAGCCAAAUUUUUGGAGAGGUUUUUAAGUAUUUUGAAUUUCUUCUAAUGGCUUACCGAGGACCUUUUCCUAUCCUCUUUUUAUAGGAUGAGGAUCUCGGCCGUUACCUAAAGUCUCGGGCCGAUUUAUGAUCAACUAGCGGCAUGAAUCAUGGAAAUCCAUCUCGCGGGCGGAGGAUACGAGAGAUAUUUUUUCAGAUUUAUUCUGAAGAUCCAUCACGUCAUUCCAAGUGAAAGUGGUUGAGGGAGCUCUUCAAUGCGUUGCGGACACGUUCCCUCUUGAGGCGUUAUCUGAUGGUACGCGAGGAGCCAAUCAUCAAUGCCCCGCCCUCCGAGGCGGCCAUCAUCAUAAUGAUGGGCCUUUAACACCGCGAUCCAAAAAAAUCUGCUGAAGAAACUUCUAGAUCUCCCACGUGGCAUGAUCUAGCCGCUCGGCCAUCUGAGCAGGCCGAUCAGAGCGGUUGAGACAGGCUAUACAAGGCCUUGGGGAGGAACCAUUGCUUUUGUUCUGGGGAUCUACAGAAUCUUCAACAGGGUCAAGGUUGGCAGGACCGAGAUCAGCUCGGCCUUUGGCGAGGGCGAAGUUGCCCGGACUCUUAGCGGGACCGAGAUCUAGUCUACUCGGCUCUGAAUUCUGCUCGGCCGAAAUUAUGUAGCUCAAUGCUGGAGUAGGACGAUCCAUUUUGCCUCCUAUCACAUAUUAUUUUAGCUCAUGUGAAAUCACAAUUCAUGCAGUCCAAGCCUUAGUCUAUCUUGAAAGAAACUGUGCCUCUGGAAUAGCACGCAACAAUUUAACAGAAAAACAGAAAAGAUGGCUCUCAUUUCGUAUUUAUUUUGAUUAUAACAUAUUUUGAAUAAUAAUAUUUUAGCAUGAUUUUUUUUUAUAAAUGUUAUCUUCUCCAUCCCUUCUCACCUACAUCCAAGACGAGAGACAACCUUUUAACCGUCGCACAAAAGCAUCAAAGAACCAAAAAUAACAAAUUUGACAUUAUCAACUUGAAUCACACAACAAUGGUUGGUGGUCAACAUAGAAAUUCUGAUAGCCGAAACGGCGGAUUCACCAAAUACAUUAAAAUACCUCUCCAUAGCAUCAGCAUGGAAAGAGAGAUGUGAAUGGUUGCUACAGAAUAAUUCCUUCAAGAUCUAACAAGACAGUUUUGAACUUUGAAUGGUGCAUAUUUCAGUUCAGCCAAGAAAUCUUGAAUCAAAUGCGACCCUCUUGUUUGCAAAUCUAAUGCUUAAAAAUUCAAAGCUUGAGAUGCAUAAAUUAUCAGUGACAGAUAUUACUAAUAUCAGACUUUAAUAACUCAAGUAUUUCAUUUAGUGUCCAACAAAAGCUGCAAAAUUAUUUUUAUGAGGGACCAAUGAUGCAAAACACCACAAAAAUUCUAUUAAAACUAAAAUAUGACAAAUUAUUGCUAUCAAACUUCAAUAACUAAUAUUAGACUUAAACAAAUUAUCAUUAGCCCCCUCCACUUUUUGUCAUCCGGGCUGGGGACCGGCAUUGGCAGUGUUAAGCUAUAAAAAUAACGUACAUUAAAGACAUACAAAACUAUAGCACAUAAAUAAAUGUCCAGUAGCCAUAAAAAACAUUGAAACAGUACGCAUAAAAGCAGGAUGACGCCUAAGUCAAACGUUCUUUUCAACGUCUGUGAAAAACUACCCACUAUUAACCUACACUUUUAGAACUGGUAACACAAAGAAUGAUGCCAGAAAAAUCUGACGUGGACAAUAGAAGAAAAGCAACCAACAUCUUUUAUCUCUAAUAUAUAAAAACAAAUUGCGAGAUCCAGACAAAAUUCAGGUAAAUCCAACCAAAUAAUUCAUAAAUUGAAAAUAUGAUAAAACAGAACAUGAACGUUGCCUUAAAUUUUGUUGUAGUCCAACAUCCGCACCAAGCAUAUGAUAAAGCAGAACAUGAACGUUGGCUUAAAUUUUGUUGUAGUCCAACAUCCGUACCAAGCACAAAAUCGAAUUCAACAUCACAAAUUCAGACAGGCUCAAAUCACCGAAAGCAAGAUAUUGACCAUGACCAUGAAAGAAUGAAUUACUCAAUGAACGUCACACUCCAAUCAACAAUCCACAUCACCACAAAUAAGAGAGAGCUCUAUCAGGAGAAUCCUCACACCAUUUGUCUCACCUUUAUUAGUAGUGCAAUUGUGGUGAAAAAAAAACAUGCUCACAAACAGGAUCAGUUGUCACACUAUUUUCCAUAGAUGUACUGGCUCUCUACCAUGCAGUUGGACUCAGGAACACAUCAGCAAUAAAGACAAAAGAUGGAAAAGCAUAAGCCCAAGAAUGUACGCUAUAGCCCUAAACCCUUCAAAGCACAAUCCUCCUAAGUUUCAGGUCUGAAACCUAGCCCUAGUCCUCUUCCUCUCCACGUCUAAUAAGCAUAAACCCUAGCCUUCAGUUGAGAAAAAAGAGAGAUUCAGCCAUCAUCGGAAAAAAAUUCAGCAAUCCACCCCAACUGGAGUCAAGCUACAAAUCCACUUAUCGACACAGCAUCCAUAGAUUCCAUACCAUUCCCAAAGUGCUUCCAACACUCAGAACCUGUACUGCAUGGAGGCAACAAGAAAUAAUCUCAACCCAAUGGUGAAUCAGAAUGAAUCUCAUCAAUGAUACCCAAUCAUUUUUCUACAAACAUCAAUAGCCAACAGAUUACUAAAACCAUCAUGAAAAUCCUAACGCUCCAAUUCCUCCAUAUUGCCUUCACUUGUAAGAAUGUUCUGGUGAAGCAAAUAAGAGAAUUAGAACUAUAACCCAAACAGUGGCUGCAAUAUGAAAAAAAAAAAUCCCUUCUGCAUCCGUAAAAUUGUAUAUUUCAACACAAGCUCAUCUGCAACAGCAGUAAUAAGUUACCUUCCAAGUCUCAUUUGAACAGGUAUUGCAGCAAAAAUUUAUAAAAUGAAAUACACCAUCAAAGAUGAGGAAUCCCUCAUUGAAAAAAAAAAUCAAUUGCAUUUUUCCCUUCUGUCUUCAAUUACUAGAUAAAGAUACACGGAGCAAUAUUGUCCCUUGUAGCACCAACUAUUCUGAAAAACAAUAAAAAUGACAAAGUAAACUAUCACACGGACUUUAAUAAUGAAAAGAAUUAGAAUAACCAAUAGGAACUCCCCUACACAAGAAAAUGAUGUCAUGCUCCAUCCAAAGCAAUCAAGAUACUGGUCAGACAAAUAAGACCCACCAAGAAUAUAUAAGAUUUUGGAACAAGGAUGAAACUAAGAAACAACAAUAUAUCAUCCAAAAAUCCACUUAUCAACAUAGCAGCCAUAUGUUCCCCAAUAUGUUUUUGACUCCUAUAGUUGGUGUUGCAUGCAGAUAGAAGACAAAGCCAAAAGAUUGCCUGCCCUAUGGGACAUAAAAAUGACGCAGACCAAAGAUAAUCAAAUCCGUAAUCUAAGCAUAUCCACAGCCUACAGUAUAGCAAAACCAUGAACAUUCUCAAUAUUGAUAAUAAAACAAUUAAAAAAGUUAACAGUCCAUAAAAUGACAACUACAGUAAAUGAAUGGUGUACCUAGCGGACCCCCUUCCCUUCAUCCAAAAUGACAUGUAAAACCGUGACAGCACGUAUAGCAGAUUAUUAUUCUUUAACCCUUUCAUAUAACCCACUAUACUGGAGAGCAUACAGUUAGUACAAUAAUUCAACUAUAAAUAAGCAAUCAUCUCGAAUUGGGGCAUCUCGAACUGGUGAGAAACCAAGUCAAUUUGGCCUCUUGAUUGGCAAACCACUGUGAACCGGCACGAACAAAACCAAACAGAACCGUUUGGUUUUGCUCGAUUCGGAGUGGUUUAAGUCCAUUUGAGGCAACAUGCGACCAAAAAAGAGAGGAAAGGCCAUGAGAUACCAUUCUCCUCUCUAUUCUUCAAAAAUUGUGAAGGAAAGGUUGGUUCUGUGAGAACAAACCCUUAGGGCAAAUUCGUGACCUACAGCUGAACAGCACAAAGAAUAAAUUAAAAUACACACUUUCCCUUGAACAGCUAGUACAAGAGAAAUUGCAUAACUCCAGUAUCAAAGAUGAGAAACCCCCUUCAUAAAAAUCAUAUCAUUAUAUUCCAAUUCCUCCAAAUUGUCUUCCAUCAUCAGAUCAAGAUGCCCUUGAGCAAGAUUGUCAAAUGCCGCACAAGCUCUUCUGCAACAUCGGAAAUAACAUACUAAACAAGUACUCUAAUAAAAAAAACGUAGUAGAACAAGUUCUACAAUCAAGGUUGAGGAGCCCCCUCCAUGAAAAAUACAUAUCAGGCUCAAAUCCACCCAGACUUUCUUGAGCACUCAAGGUCCCCACUGUCCCACCGGUAUUUAAAACCUUGGUACUGGUCAAACAAAUCAGAGGAAGUCACAAGGUUACUGGAACCACAAACCACAGGAAUGAAUGAGAGGUUUAAUAAGACUUUGGAACAUAGAUAUGAAACUUAGUACAGCAUAUCAGCUGCAAAACAACUUAUCAACAUAGCAUCCAUCUUGUUCCCAACAGAAGUGAGUCUCCAUAUUGCCUUCCUGAUCAAAACAAUAUUCUGGUGAAGCAAAUAGAAAGAAAUAUUAAAAUAUCAACCCAAAGGAAUAAAACCAACUAGUGAAAAAAAAAGGGUAAUCAGGAACAUAAAGGUAUCAAACAAUAAGUACAACAUAAACAAGGACAAAACCUUCCAUAUGGGCAAAACUCUGUCUCACAGCACAAACUCAUCUGCAACAGAACAAAUAAUAAAUUUACUUUCAUGAUUCCACAUGAACAGCUACUGUAGGGAAAAGCUAGUACAACAAACUUUUCAUAUCAAGAUACCCAUAAGCAAGAUUAUCCCAUGAUGCCCAAGAUCUUCCGCAACAGCAGAAGUACAAACUGACCUAUCACAUGAACUCUAGGUGUAAGGAGAAAAAUUAAUAAAACCAAUUCUAAGUCUAGGUUGAGGAACUCCAUGAAUGAAAAAGCAUAUCAUACUCCAAUUCACCCAGACUACAUUAAGCAUUACUGGUCAAACAAAUGAGAGGAAAACAUCAAUGCAAUAGGAAUGAAUGAGAUUUUGGAACACAGAUGAAACUAAGAAACUUGAUACAGCAAAUCAGCUGCAAGUAUUUUAAUUAGCAACCUUGUCCAUCAACCUAGAUGUUCUCUUACAGCACAAGCUCUUCUGCAAUAACAGAAAUAAUUAACCAUAUAAACAACAUGGUUAGAGAAAAAUUAAUAAAACCAAAUAGUGAGGAAACCCUAUAGAUUGCCUUCACUGGUUCUAGUGAAACAAAUGUAAGAAUCAAUAAGCUAAUAACCCAAUACAUAUGAUUAACAGUAUGGAACAAAAAUGAAAUUAGAAUAAUGUGCACCAAAUAUUAACUCCUUUAUCCACUCUUGGAUUCAUUUUGUUUCCAACAUGCACCAUGUAGGACUCCCAUGAGACUAGGGCCUAAACCAUGAAAAUGAGACUGUUUACAAGUAACUGAGUCCAGAAUUUUACAGAAUUUGAACAAAUGUGCAUCGAGAAUUAAGUCCUGCAGCAGGACUCCUGCUGGAUUCAUUUUGUUUCCAAGACGCACCAGCACUACAAGGAGACAAACAUUAGGGCCUACAUGAAAAUGAAACUGGUUACAGGAAAAUUUUACAGAAUUUGCCUUGAUACCUAAGGAACAUAUUCUCUUAUUUCGUGUUGAACCAGCAUUGAUAAACAGUCAAUUAAGAAGACAGAAGUCAACAAACAAUAGUCACAAUAUAAAUAGUAAUGCAAAUUGCUUCCCAUAACAUAAGAUCUGCAAAAGCAACAAAUAUAACAGCUUAACCUUAUCACAUCAACAACAGCCCAAUUCCCCAUAUCUCAAAUGACCGAAUCAGGGUACUGGUGAAACGAACUGGAGAAAACAAUUAAACCACUAACCAAAAGGAAUUAUUGGCACCUUAAAACAAAUUUAACCCACAGAUACCUCAAUUACAUGUAAAAGCUACAAAAUCACUAAUUGACAGUGUCAUUCAAAACGCACCCAGGAUGUACUGUAACCUACAAUCUGUCAGAGACGAAAAGAUGACCAGAGAUAGCGUAUUAGAAGAUAAUAAAGCUCCUUAAAAACAAACCAAAUCAGAAUUCUCCGGUUUUGACCGAAUCCAAAACAUGAACUAACUAAUUAUAAAGCAGAUUCAACAAAAGGCAAUAAGGAAGACAAUGUUUCAUAAACAAUAGCCACAAAUAUAAAGAAUGGUUUAACUUAGUGGAUCCCUAGAUCCCUUAAGCAAGACUAUUUCAAACACUACAAGCCCUUCAACAGAGAUAAUAAAUUAAUGUUUCACAUUACUCCUCGCACACGUCAAAGAAUUAAAAUUUGCCAAACAGCUACAACAGAAAGUUCGGGUAAUCGCAUAAGCUGUUAAAAUGAGGGCAUGAUUAGAUGGAGGAAUAAUUCCACAAACCAACUGAAAUACAAACAUCCCUCAAAUACUAGAUAACAGUGAAAACAAGACGUAUAUGUGCUAUAAGAAAAGUGAUUAUAAAGAACCUUGAAGGAGUUACCAUAGAUUAAGAUUGGCAGUUGAUGAUGCUAUUAAACAUAUACCAAGUAUGGCAUCUCCACAAGAGGAAAUCUGAUAGCAAAAACAACAGAUGUGAUGGGCCUUAUGGUGGACAAAAUUGAUGAAAUGUUGAGUAACAGGUGAACUACAACCAAAAAUUGAGAUCUUACUACUCCCAAAGCUAUCAACUGGAAGAAGCAAGGUCAACAGACUAUAAGAUCAACCUGCAAACCACUACCAUUAGCUCGUUAUGAACAUGGUCAUGACUAGAUGCAACGAAUUUGCAAUUAAAAAAAGAAAUAAAAAUUCGCAAACUUUCUAUUUACCACACAAGCAAAUAUAGGGACAAGUAUACAACCAAGACUUUCGGAGAACCAACCAAAAAGCCAAGAGCUGGUUAUCUCAGACAGAACCCUAAUCAUUGAAUAACAGCUAACAAUUAGGAUAAAGGAGGAAGGAAAUGAUAUCUAAAGGAAGAAAUAACCCUGAUUUUCUGGCCCUCAGCAAUUGAAAAGCUCAAGCUCUUGCAAAUACGACAAAAAAAACACAAUAAUAAUUCACAUCUAGCCCAUGGAAUAUGAAUAAUUUCAAGUACCAAAGUAGUCGCUCUGUCAGCAAAUCAUCUCUGCUUUUUGCUCUAAGCAGUCGACCGGUAGACUGAGUAGCAACAAGAAUGGUGAAAGAGAUGGUAGAUGAGUCCCAUAUAAUACAUAAUCAGAACCUGAAAUACCUUGCAUCUCUGGAGCCAUCCAACAACUCCAACCCGUUGAACAUGAUGUUCAUUAUAUCCUUACAAAUACUACAGCAAACCAAUAUUGAACAUGAUGAUUAGAGUACUUGAGAAACCCAAUAUUGAAUUCCAACCUCUGCAUCAUAUUUCAUGAAUCCAUCAUUAAGUAAUCCCUUGAUACUGGCAAAACGAGGUAAAUUGAGCAGUAUAACCUGAAGUAACAACGGAAUAAUGAGCAGAGGAAAUAUAUCCUAAGAAGCCACAGAAGAUGACUAAAGAUCAGAAGAAACUAUUAUGUCCCCACAGUGCUUGCCAACAGUAUAUGAUAGCUCUGAUCAGGUAGUGCAAUUUGUUGCCACAACAAAUCCUACCGCAACCAAAUAGAAGGAUUUCAACAAACACAAGAAGUGGAAAAAAUCAUCUCACUGAUCACAUAUUGCUUCUCUGAAUCAAACCAAUUGAUCAAAUCUCAUUAUCUGAACAAAAUGAAAAUAAUCAAAGGAAAAGAAACCCCCUUCAAAACAAAACCAAUGUGGACACCUGCUUUAACAUCAUCUCUUUGAGUUGAAUUACAUGGAAAACAAGGGCAGCCUUCUCAAAAAUUGGAACCUAGAGAAACCAUCAAGAAUCAAAAACCAUGAUUAGAUUAAGCAUCAAAAUUAGAAAUCACUGUCACACUGCACAAUAAAAUUGUCAUCAUGUUUCAAACCAACUAAUCAAACCACCAUGUAAUAAAGAAACCCCCUUCACAAGAACUUCCGGCCUCUAAAUCAUGCCUCUUAUGUCCAACAUCAGAAUAUGGAAACCAAAAUAACACCGACUUAGAAUCAGGAACAUUCUCCGAAACAUAGAAACUGCUUCCAUGAUGAUUUCACACUGAAAAUAUUAUUAAAACAAAUACUGAAAACUCGUAACCCCAGCACCAGUGCUUCAACCGAAUGCAAGAAAAUCAUGAAGUAAAUCUGAACUCGGACUGUCAGAUUGGCGAUACUCAAAAAUCCAAUCAGAAUACACCACAGCUGAUUCCGGCAGAUUAACGAUGGAGCACCCCCAAUACCAGAAGAAAGAAACCUGAACCACUUGGAUUCUUUUUUAGGAAAAAAAGGAAACUAAACCACAAGAGACCAGAUUCAAUCGUCAAAUCCUCAAACAAGAACAAACAGCUCAAAAUUCUGCGAACCCUAAAAACCAAGUCGCAAAAAAUUCCUUAAUUACUGCAAAUCUUUAACUUAAAUUCAUCCUCUGAAUCAUGCCUAUCUUGUCCAACACCGUAAGAUGGAAUCUAUAGGUAACAUUGAAUUGGCAUCAGGAACAUCUCUUUUGAGACAUCCAGAAACCACUAAUCAGGCUGCAAAAUAAUGCUUGUGUGAUGCUUUCAAACUGAAAAUAGAAUUAUUAAAAUGAAUACCAAAAACUGUAAUACUGGCAGCAGGAAAAUCAUAAGCAAGUCUGAACUCAUACUGUCGGAUUGGAAAUAUUCAAAAGCGAUUAAUACCAUUCCCUGCCAUCCUCCCUCUAUAAAACCUGCUAAGCUCAAGAUUUGCAGGAAAAUCAUACCGGUAGAUUAACAAAAGAGCACUCCCAGAUCCAAACCAAAAAAAAAAACUCAAUUCACUGGAAUUCUUUUCAAAAAGAAAAAAGUCACAUGAAACCAGAUUCAAUUGCCAAGUCAAAAAGACUACUGCAAAUCUUCAAGAAACUCACUACCUUAUUAAAUGCAAAUCUUCUAGAAAUCUACAUCCACUUGCAAGCAACAAUAGAGUAAAACCAUCAAUAAUCUUGAUACUGAUAAUGAAAUUAAGAAGCCAACAGACUGUAAAUAAUUAAAAUAUAAUGAAAUCGCAUAAGCCAGUGAGCACCUUCCAUUCAUCGGCUGAAAUGUCACCUAUAGUACUACCGCCAUCAUCCACAGUUGCUUCAUCCCUUGGAUUCCCCCAUGGUGCCUUCACUGAUCAAAUCAAAUUUCUGGUGAAGCAAAAGAGAGAAAUACUGACCCAUAUCAAAAGUAACUCACUCACUCAGCAAUAGCAGCUAAAAUGUAAAAGCUACUAAGUCACUCAGCAGUAGCAGAAUAUAUAUCAAUUCCCAUACACACCAAUGCAUGAAAAAUCACUGCUUUACUUGGAUUGCUCCAUUCUGCCUUCACUGAUCAAGUCACAGUUCUGGUAAGGCAAAUGGCAGGAUUGCCAAAGAUAACAAAAUAUUUAAGUAAUUGGAACAAGUAUGAAAAAAACAGGCCCAGAUUAAGGGUAGCAGCUACUAUUAUAUCGGUUCUAAGACACACCAUAGCCUACAAAAUAUAGUAUCAUGAUUAUCAAGACAAGCAAUAUAGUGCAAAUCCAACAGGAAGAAAAUGAAGCCCAUUACAAAUCUUAAUCCAGCAUUUUCCAAAAUAUACCAAAGGACCAGAUACAUUAAGAGAACACAAGCUAAUAAUGGAAAAAAGGCGAUUAUUAGGUACACAAAUGCACAUAAACAAUGACUAGGAUUUAAAGGACAAACUCUGCUCUUCGCCUUGGAAAAAUUGCAUGCUGCAACAUAAGCACAAAUCAAUCUUCCAUGUGAAUAGUUUGUGUAGGAAAAAAAAUAAUCGCAAACUCCCAAAACGAACCCCCUUAAUAUAAAAUAGCAACAUUACACUCCAGUCUUUCAUAUAGUCUUCAAGAUCAAGAUACCCUGAGAAUGAUUGUUUCCCUGUUGCACAAGCUUUUCUGCAACAACAGAAAUAACAAGUUAUCUUAUCACACAAACUCUGUAAUACUGGCAGCAGGAAAAUCAUAAGCAAGUCUGAACUCAUACUGUCGGAUUGGAAAUAUUCAAAAGCGAUUAAGUAUCAGGGAAAAUGACUAUAACUGAUUCUACAAUCAAGGCUGAGGACAACACCAGUGAAAAAGGUCAUAUCAUACUCCAAUUUGUGCGUACAUCCUAUAACGAUCAAGAAGCGGGUCAAUGAAAUGAGAGAUGAUCACCAGGUUACUAGAUCAAUAAGAAUGAGUGAUAUUCUUGAACCAAGAGAUAUCAGCUACAAAGCCACUUAACAAAAUAGCCUCCAUAUCAUAUGCUUUCGCACCUAAAGAACUGGCACUGCAUGAAGAUGAACACGAGCUAGAAAAUAGCUUCAACCCUAUGAAAUAAAAAAAAGGAUCAUCAAAGAUAACCAAAUCCAGAAUCUACUUACCUCCAUAGCCUAUAGUAUACAAAAACCAUCAAUAAUCCCAUUAUCUAUUUUACUAUAUAACACCAACUCCCUUAAUAUCUCAAUGCAUGAGGUGUGUCAGACCAUCAAUGUUUCCCCACCCAUGUUCCAUGUUUGCGUUUUCCCUUCAGUGCGGCUGUUACCAACAAGAUCAAAAAGUCCGAGUCCUUCCUCAUCAAAAAAUAAUGUGCAUCCCAUAUGCCGCAUCCUUGAUAAACAAGCAAUCAAGAAAGCAGGUCAGUUUCAUCAGGUUAUUUCCAGUCUAGUCUAGAAUCAACACCAAACGAAGCUUCAUCUUAACAACUACGUACACCGUAACUAAUGGGUAGCCCUUACCGUCUUUCUACAAUCUCCGAUUGGAAAUCCCUCAUUACAUUAGAACUGCACCUCAACAGCGAAAGACUUAUGUCNNNNNNNNNNNNNNNNNNNNNNNNNNNNNNNNNNNNNNNNNNNNNNNNAACCAGCUCACUAACGUCGCCACUUCAGACAAGGAAUUUGGUUUGACAUCUUCCUAGUUUACUCGGCUGAACGAACAGGUCUAAAUGGGUGGUAAGCCCGAAAUGUCACCCAAAAUAGAAUCCAUUCUGUGAUGGAAAUAAUAAUAAAUUAUUCUUCAACUCUGUAAUGUAACACUGUAGAUAGAGAGAGAAACAUAGCACAAUCAAAUUCAUAUGUAAAACAACCUAUCGCCCAGGACACCCGUUUACUAGGAAGAUAAGAAUCAAAAAGGAUUGAACUACUAACUCAUUACUCAGAGGUGAAUCAUAUAACAUCAAAAGCUGUGGUAUCUUGUGGACCUAACCCUCACAACAUAAACUGAAAGAUGCAUACCCUUCUCUCCAAAGUGGAUCAAGAAAAUUUCUUUCUUAAUAACUCCCCCAUGUUGCCUUCGCUGAUCAAAAUGAGGUGCUCUGAAAAGCAAAUAACAGGGUUGCUAAGAUAAUAACACAAAACAAAAACCUCGAUACUGAGAAUAAAGUUUCACAGAUUCUAAAUUAAGAUUGCAAAUGGAAAUUAGGAACACAAAGGUAUAUAAAUAAGAACUAUGAUAUUAGAAACAGACUAUUCCAGAAGGGUAAAUUUGUAAUUUACAGCACAAACUCUGCAACAGAACAAAUAAUAAAUUAACCUCCACACUUUGAACAGCUAGUGCAAGAAAGAAUAGAAAUAUUAACUCCACUAUCAAACAUGACACACCCCCUUUAUCAUUUCAUUCCUCCAAACUAUUUUCCAUUAUCAGAUCAAGAGUACCUUUGAGCAAGAAUGCCCCAAAUGCACAAGCUCUUCUGCAACGCUCAUGAGGUUGAAGAACCCCCUACAUAAAAAAAAACAUACCUUCUCUCAUCCACCCAAAAUGUCUCGAGCGCUCAAGGAAGGCAAACAAAAGGGAGAAGCUCACCAGGUCACUAAUGCAACAGGGAUGAAUGAGAUCGUGAAAAAUAGAUGAAACUAAGAAACUUGAUACAGCAUAUCAGCUGCAAAACCACUUACCAACAUAGUAUGUGUUAUUUCCAACAUGCUUGACUCCUAAAGAAUUUGUGGAAGCAAGAAAGCAACAUCAUGGAAAACCCUUUCUUAAUCCCAGUUAAUCAUACUUUCAGUGCUUAGAACAAAGAUUGACAAAUUAUAAAUUAAUCUUGAAAAUGGCCAACUAUAAAUAUGGACAAACCCUUCUACAUGGGCAAAAUCAUAACCUGCAGCAGAAGUUACCGCCACAGCACAAACCAUAUAGUAACUUUCACCAUUCCCCAUGAACAGCUAGUAUAGGAAAAAGUAGUAUAAUACCUCCACUAUCAAAGAUGAGAAACCCCCUUAAUAAAAAAUUAUAUCACUAUGAUCCAUUUCCUUCGAACUGUCUUCCAUUAUCAGGUAAAGAUGCCCUUGAGCAAGAUCACCUGAUGUUGUACAAGCUCUUCUGCGACAUCAGAAAUAACAAACCUAUGACGUGAACUUUAAGUUUGAGAAAAAAAUAGAAAUAUUAUCAAUUCUAUCAUAAAGGUUGAGGAACACCCUCCAUCAAAAGAGCAUAUCAUGAUCCAAUCCCCCAAGCUAUCUUGAGAGCCGAUGGUUCUGGCCAAACAAAUGAGAGAACAUCACCAGGUCAUUAAUAACACAAAGGACAUUUCUGGAACACAGAUAUGAAACUCGAUACAGCAUAUAAAAAGCAGAUCCACUUAUCGAGAUCAUUACUGUCAGGCCCCACAUGCUGUGACCCCUAGAUUAUCAGUGGAAGUGAGGAACCUCGUCAUGAAAAAUCCUUUCUUAACCCUAAUCCUCUAGUAUUGCCUUCACUGAUCAAAUCAAGGUUCUGGUGAAGCAAAUAAAAAGAUUUCUAAAAUACUAACCCAAAUUGCUAAGAUACUAAUCAAAAGAAACACCUAUUAAAAAAAAGGUAAUUAGGAACAUAAAGGCAUCAAAUACUAACUAUGAUAUAAAUAAGGGUGAACCCUUCCAUAUUGGCAAAUAUGGGGAAAAAUUGUAUCCUGCAGCACAAGCUAAUCUGCAACAGCACAAAUAAUAAAUUAACCUUCAUGGUUCCACAUGAACAGCUACUGCACAAAAAAGCUAGCAUAAUGAGCUCCCCGAACAUGGAUUAGAAAUUCUAUUCAUUAAAAAAAAAUCACAGCAUUACACUCCAUUUCCUCUAAACUUUCUUCAAUUAUCAGACCAAGAUACCCUUCAGCAAGAUUGUCCCAUGUUGCAAAAGCUCUUCUGCAACAUCACAAAUAACAAACUAAGAAAGACAUGAACUAAAAGCAUAAGGGGAAAAAAAAUACUACGAUCAAUUCAAUAAUCAAAGGGAGGAAACCCCUCAUGAAAAAACAAAUAUACUCCAAUGCAGCCAUAGCAUAUUGAGAACUCACAGUGCUGGUCAAACAAAUGAGAGAAUCCCCAGGUUACUAAUGCAACAGGAAAUCAUGAAACAACUGCCAACAUCAAUCACAAAAUGAUAAACUGCAUGAGAUUAACCAAGAAAUCAAGAUUAUGCCAAACUGACCCGAACUUCCCACUUCGGGGCAUCUCGAACUGGUGAGAAACCAAGUCAAUUUGGCCUCUUGAUUGGGAAACCACUGUGAACCGGCUCGAACUAAACCAAGCGGAACCAUUAGGUUUUGCUCGGUUCAGAGAACAUGUGACCAAAAAAGAGAGGAAAGGCCAUGAGAUACCAUUCUCCUCUCUAUUCUUCAAAAAUUGUGAAGGAAAGGUAGGUUCUGUGAGAACAAACCCUUAAGGCAAAUUCGUGACCUACAGCUGAACAGCACAAAGAAUAAAUUAAAAAUACACACUUUCCCUCGAACAGCUAUUAUAAGAGAAAAUGUAUAACUCCAGUAUCACAGAUGAGAAACCCCCUUCAUAAAAAUCAUAUCAUUAUAUUCCAAGUCCUCCAAACUGUCUUCCAUCAUCAGAUCAAGAUGCCUUUGAGCGAGAUUGUCAAAUGUCGCACAAGCUCUUCUGCAACAUCCGAAAUAACAUACUAAACAAGUAUCAAAGCAUAAGAGUAAAAAAAAUGUAGUAGAACAAGUUCUACAAUCAAGGUUCAGGAAACCCUCCAUGAAAAAUACAUAUCAUGCUCCAAUCCACCCAGACUGUCUUGAGCACUCAGGUCCCCACUAUCCCACCGGUAUUUAAAACCUUGGUACUGGUCAAACAAAUGAGAGGAAGUCACAAGGUUACUGGAACAACAGGAAUGAAUGAGAUUUAACAAGACUUUGGAACAUAGAUAUGAAACUUAGUGCAGCAUAUCAGCUGCAAAACAACUUAUCAACAUAGAAUCCAUCUUGUUCCCAGCAGAAGUGAGUCUCCAUAUUGCCUCCCUGAUCAAAACAAUAUUCUGGUGAAGCAAAUAGAAAGAAUUAUUAAGAUGUCAACCCAAAGGAAUAAAACCAACUAGUGAAAUAAAAGGGGUAAUCAGGAACAUAAAGGUAUCAAACAAUAAGUACAACAUAAACAAGGACAAACUCUUCCAUAUGGGCAAAACUCUGUCUUACAGCACAGGCUCAUCUGCAACAGAACAAAUAGUAAAUUUACUUUCAUGAUUCCACACGAACAUCUACUGUAGGGAAAAGCUAGUACAACAAACUUUUCAUAUCAAGAUACCCAUAAGCAAGAUUAUCCCAUGAUGCCCAAGAUCUUCUGCAACAGCUGAAGUACAAACUGACCUACCACAUGAACUCCAGGUGUAAGGAAAAAAAUUAAUUAAACCAAAUUCUAAGUCUAGGUUGAGGAACUCCAUGAAUGAAAAAGCAUAUCAUACUCCAAUUCACCCAGACUACAUUAAGCAUUCAAGUUACUGGUCAAACAAAUGAGAGGAAAACAUCAAUGCAAUAGGAAUGAAUGAGAUUUUGGAACACAGAUGAAACUAAGAAACUUGAUACAGCAAAUCAGCUGCAAGUAUUUUCAUUAGCAACCUUGUCCAUCAACCUAGAUGUUCUCUUACAGCACAAGCUCUUCUGCAAUAACAGAAAUAAUUAACCUUAUAAACAACAUGGUUAGAGAAAAAUUAAUAAAACCAAAUAGUGAGGAAACCCUACAAAUUGCCUUCACUGGUUCUAGUGAAACAAAUGUAAGAAUCAAUAAGCUAAUAACCCAACACAUAUGAUUAACAGUAUGGAACGAAGAUGAAAUUAGAAUAAUGUGCAUCAAAUAUUAACUCAUUUAUCCACUGUUGGAGUCAUUUUGUUUCCAACAUGCACCAAGUAGGACUCCCAUGGAGCCGGAGACUAGGACCUAAACAAUGAAAAUGAGACUGUUUACAAGUAACUGAACCCAGAAUUUUACAGAAUUUGAACAAAUGUGCAUCGAGAAUUAAGUCCUGCUCGAUUCAUUUUGUUUCCAAGACGCACCAGCACUACAAGGAGUCAAACAUUAGGACCUACAUGAAAAUGAAACUGGUUGCAAGAUAAUUUUUACAGAAUUUGCCUUGAUCAAUAAGGAACAUAUUCUCUUAUUUCAUGCUGAACCAGCAUUGAUAAAAAGUCAAUUAAGAAGACAGAAGUCAACAAACAAUAGCCACAAUAUAAACAGUCAUGCAAAUUGCUUACCAUAACAUAAGAUCAGCAAAAGCAACAAAUAUAACAGCUUAACCUUAUCACAUCAACAGCAGUCCAAUUCCCCAUAUCUCAAAUGACCGAAUCAGGGUACUGGUGAAACGAACUGGAGAAAACAAUUAAACCACUAACCAAAAGGAAUUAUUGCCACCUUAAAACAAAUUUAACCCACAGAUACCUCAAUUACAUGUAAAAGCUACAAAAUCACUAAUAGACAGUGUCAUUCAAAACGCUCCCAGGAUGUACUGAAUCCUACAAUCUGUCAGAUAUGAAAAGAUGACCAGAGAUAGCGUAUUAGAAGAUAAUAAAGCUCCUUAAAAACAAACCAAAUCAGAAUUCUCCGGAUUUGACCGAAUCCAAAACAUGAACUAACUAAUUAUAAAGCAGAUUCAACAAAAGGCAAUAAGGAAGACAAUGUUUCAUAAACAAUAGCCACAAAUAUAAAGAAUGGCUUAACUUAGUGGGUCCCUAGAUCCCUUAAGCAAGACUAUUUCAAACACUACAAGCCCUUCAACAGAGAUAAUAAAUUAAUGUUUCACAUUACUCCUCGCACACGUCAAAGAAUUAAAAUUUGCCAAACAGCUACAACUGAAAGUUCGGGUAAUCGCAUAAGCUGUUAAAAUGAGGGCAUGACUAGAUGGAGGAAUAAUUCCACAAAACAACUGAAAUACAAACAUCCCUCAAAUACUAGAUAACAGUGAAAACAAGACAUAUAUGUACUACAAGAAAAGUGAUUAUAAAGAACCUUGAAGGAGUUACCAUAGAUUAAGAUUGGCAGUUGAUGAUGCUAUUAAACAUAUACCAAGUAUGGCAUCUCCACAAGAGGAAAUCUGAUAGCAAAAACAACAGAUGUGAUGGGCCUUAUGGUGGACAAAAUUGAUGAAAUGUUGUGUAACAGGUGAACUACAACCAAAAAUUGAGAUCUUACUACUCCCAAAGCUAUCAACUGGAAGAAGCAAGGUCAACAGACUAUAAGAUCAACCUGCAAACCACUACCAUUAGCUCGUUAUGAACAUGGUCAUGACUAGAUGAAACGAAUUUGCAGUUAAAAAAAAAGAAAUAAAAAUUCGCAAACUUUCUAUUUACCACACGAGCAAGUAUAGGGACAAGUACACAACCAAGACUUUCGGAGAACCAACCAAAAAGCCAAGAGCAGGUUAUCUCAGACAGGAGUCACAGGACCCUAAUCAUUGAAUAACAGCAAACAAUUAGGAUAAAGGAGGAAGCAAAUGAUAUCUAAAGGAAGAAAUAACCCUGAUUUUCUGGCCCUCAGCAAUUGCCAAGCUCAAGCUCUUGCAAAUACGACAAAAAAAACACAACAAUAAUACACAUCUAACCCACGGAAUAUGAAUAAUUUCAAGUACCAAAGUAGUCGCUCUGUCAGCAAAUCAUCUCUGCUUUUUGCUCUAAGCACUCGACCGGUAGACUGAGUAGCAACAAGAAUGGUGAAAGAGAUGGUGGAUGAGUCCCAUAUAAUAGAUAAUCAGAACCUGAAAUACCUUGCAUCUCUGGAGCCAUCCAACAACUCCAACCCAUCGAACAUGAUGUUCAUUAUAUCCUUACAAAUACUACAGCAAAAGCACCAAACACUCAAUAACACAAACGAACAAAUGAAUAAGACAUUUACAGCUUCAUAAUUGCUCCUCUAAAUGCUCUGAAUCAUGAAAAGCGAACACAAUCAAUUCGUCAGUUGAUCCUAAAUGAUCACAUGAUUAGAGUACUAGAGAAACCCAACCUUGAAUUCCAGCCUCUGCAUCAUAUUUCAUGAAUCCAUCAUUAAGAAAUCGCUUGAUACUGGUAAAACGAGGUGAAUUGAGCGGUAUAACCUGAAGUAACAACGGAAUAAAGAGCAGAGGAAAUAUAUCCUAAGCAGCCACAGAAGAUGAGUAAAGAUCAGAAGAAACUAUUAUGCCGCCACGGUGCUUGCCAACAGUAUACGAUAGCUCUGAUCAGGUAGUGCAAUUUGUUGCCACAACAAAUCCUACCGCAGCCAAAUAGAAGGAUUUCAACAAACACAAGAAGUGGAAAAAAUCAUCUCACUGAUCACAUAUUGCUUCUCUGAAUCAAACCAAUUGAUCAAAUCACAUUAUCUGAACAAAAUGAAAAUAAUCAAAGGAAAAGAAACCCCCUUCAAAACAAAACCAAUGUGGACACCUGCUUUAACAUCAUCUCUUUGAGUUGAAUUACUUGGAAAACAAGGGCAGCCUUCUCAAAAAUUGGAACCUAGAGAAACCAUCAAGAAUCAAAAACCAUGAUUAGAUUAAGCAUCAAAAUUAGAAAUCACUGUCACACUGCACAAUAAUAUUUUCAUCAUGUUUCAAACCAACUAAUCAAACCACCAAGUAAUAAAGAAACCCCCUUCACAAGAACUUCCGGCCUCUAAAUCAAGCCUCUUAUGUCCAACAUCAGAAUAUGGAAACCAAAAUAACACCGUCUUAGAAUCAGAAACAUUCUCCGAAACAUAGAAACUGCUUCCUUGAUGAUUUCACACCGAAAAUAUUAUUAAAACAAAUACUGAAAACUCGUAACCCCAGCACCAGUGCUUCAACCGAAUAAAAGAAAAUCAUGAAGUAAAUCUGAACUCGGACUGUCAGAUUGGCAAUACGCAAAAAUCCAAUCAGAAUACACCACAGCUGAUUCCUGCAGAUUAACGAUGGAGCACCCCCAAUACCAGAAGAAAGAAACCUGAACCACUUGGAUUCUUUUCUAGUAAAAAAAAGAAACUAAAUCACAAGAGACCAGAUUCAAUCGUCAAAUCCUCAAACAAGAACAAACAGCUAACAAUUCUGCGAACCCUAAAAACCAAGUCGCAAAAAAUUCCUUAAUUACUGCAAAUCUUCAACUUGAAUUUCAGCCUCUGAAUCAUGCUUAUCUUGUCCAUNNNNNNNNNNNNNNNNNNNNCCUCUGAAUCAUGCUUAUCUUGUCCAUCACCGUAAGAUGGAAUUUAAAGUAACAUUGAAUUGGCAUCAGGAACAUCUCUUUUGAGACAUCCAGAAACCACUAAUCAGGCUGCAAAAUAAUGCUUGUGUGAUGCUUUCAAACUGAAAAUAGAAUUAUCAAAAUGAAUACCAAAAACUGUAAUACAGGCAGCAGGAAAAUCAUAAGCAUGUCUGAACUCAUACGGUCGGAUUGGAAAUAUUCAAAACUGAUUAUUACACAUUACAACAAAUACCUGUAGAUUAACAAAAGAGCACACCCAGAUCCAACAAAAAAAAAAAACUCAAUCCACUGGAAUUCUUUUCAAAAAGAAAAAAGUCACAUGAAACCAGAUUCGAUUGCCAAGUCAAAAAGACUACUGCAAAUCUUCAAGAAACUCACUACCUUAUUAAAUGCAAAUCUUCUAGAAAUCUACAUCCACUUGCAAGCAAAAAUAGAGUAAAACCGUCAAUAAUCUUGAUACUGAUAAUGAAAUUAAGAAGCCAGCAGUCUGUAAAUAAUUAAAAUAUAAUGAAAUCGCAUAAGCCAGUGAGCCCCUUCCAUUCAUCGGCUGAAAUGUCACCAAUAGUACUACCGUCAUCAUCGACAGUUGCUUCAUCGCUUGGAUUCCCCCAUGGUGCCUUCACUGAUCAAAUCAAAUUUCUGGUGAAGCAAAAGAGAGAAAUACUGACCCAUAUCAAAAGUUACUCACUCACUCAGCAAUAGCAGCUAAAAUGUAACAGCUACUAAGUCACUCAGCAGUAGCAGAAUAUAUAUCAAUUCCCAUACACACCAAUGCAAGAAAAAUCACUGCUUUACUUGGAUUGCUCCAUUCUGCCUUCACUGAUCAAAUCACAGUUCUGGUAAGGCAAAUGACAGGAUUGCCAAAGAUAACAAAAUAUUUAAGUAAUUGGAACAAGUAUGAAAAAAAACAAACCCAGAUUAAAGGUAGCAGCUACUAUUAUAUCGGUUCUAAGACACGCCAGAGCCUACAAAAUAUAGUAGCGCGAUUAUCAAGACAAGCAAUAUAGUGCAAAUGCAACAGGAAGAAAAUGAAGCCCAUUACAAAUCAUAAUCCAGCAUUUUCCAAAAUAUACCAAGGGACCAGAAACAUUAAGAGAACACAAGCUAAUAAUGGAAAAAGGCGAUUAUUAGGUACACAAAUGCACGUAAACAAUGACUAGGAUUUAAAGGACAAACUCUGCUCUUCGCCUUGGAAAAAUUGCAUGCUGCAACAUAAGCACAAAUCAAUCUUCCAUGUGAAUAGUUUGUGUAGGAAAAAAAAUAUCGCAAACUCCCAAAGCGAGCCCCCUUAAUAAAAAAUCGCAACAUUACACUCCAGUCUUUCAUAUAGUCUUCAAGAUCAAGAUACCCUGAGAAUGAUUGUUUCCCUGUUGCACAAGCUUUUCUGCAACAACAGAAAUAACAAGUUAUCUUAUCACACAAACUUUAUGUAUCAGAGAAAAAUACUAUAACUGAUUCUACAAUCAAGGCUGAGGACAACGCCAGUGAAAAAGGUCAUAUCAUACUCCAAUUUGUGCGUACAUCCUAUAACGAUCAAGAAGCGGGUCAAUGAAAUGAGAGAUGAUCACCAGGUUACUAGAUCAAUAAGAAUGAGUGAUAUUCUUGAACCAAGAGAUAUCAGCUACAAAGCCCAUGGUCUGCCGUACCGGUCCGUACCGGCCGGUACGAACCGGUCCGGCCUGGGACCGGUACCGGAUCAGCGUGAAAUCCGGUACCGGUAGUUUAUUGUUGAAGAAUCGGUACUAAACCGGUACGGGACCGGUUCGGACCGGUACGCCACCGGUACGGACCGGUCCGGGCCGCCACCGGUACGCCGACCGAUACCGAUACGGCGGACCUUGACAAAGCCACUUAACAAAAUAGCCUCCAUAUCAUAUGCUUUCGCUCCUAAAGAACUGGCACUGCAUGAAGAUGAAUACGAGCUAGAAGAUAGCUUCAACCCUAUGAAAUAAAAAAAAGGAUCAUCAAAGAUAAUCAAAUCCAGAAUCUACUUACCUCCAUAGCCUAUAGUAUACAAAAACCAUCAAUAAUCCCAUUAUCUAUUUUACUAUAUAACACCAACUCCCUUAAUAUCUCAAUGCAUGAGGUGUGUCAGACAAUCAAUGUUUCCCCACCCAUGUUCCAUGUUUGCGUUUUCCCUUCAGUGCGGCUGUUACCAACAAGAUCAAAAAGUCCGAGUCCUUCCUCAUCAAAAAAUAAUGUGCAUCCCUUAUGCCGCAUUCUUGAUAAACAAGCAAUCAAGAAAGCAGGUCAGUUUCAUCAGGUUAUUUCCAAUCGAGUCUAGAAUCAACACCAAAUGAAGCUUCAUCUUAACAACUACGUACACCGUAACUAAUGGGUAGCCCUUACCGUCUUUCUACAAGCUCCGGUUGGAAAUCCCUCACUACAUUAGAACUGCACCUCAACAGCGAAAGACUUAUGUCAUUCUCCCUCUGCCUCAUGAAGCUUUUCACACUCACUCCAUGCAUUUUAACCAGCUCACUAACGUCGCCAUUUCAGACAAGGAAUUUGGUUUGACAUCUCCCUAGUUUGCUCGGCUGAACGAACAGGUCUAAAUGGGUGGUAAGCCCAAAAUGUCACCCAAAACAGAAUUCAUUCUGUGAUGGAAAUACUAAUAAAUUAUUCUUCAACUCUGUAAUGUAACACUGUAGAUAGAGAGAGAAACAUAGCACAAUCAAAUUCAUAUGUAAAACAACCUAUCACCCAGGACGCCCGUUUACUAGGAAAAUAAGAAUCAAAAAGGAUCGAACUACUAACUCAUAACUCAGAGGUGAAUCAUAUAACACCAAAAGCUGUGGUAUCUUGUGGACCUAACCCUCACAACAUAAACUGAAAGAUGCAAGCCCUUCUCUUCAAAGUGGAUCAAGAAAAUUUCUUUCUUAAUAACUCCCCCAUGUUGUCUUCGCUGAUCAAAAUGAGGUGCUCUGAAAAGCAAAUAACAGGGUUGCUAAGAUCAUAACACAAAAAAAAAACCUCGGUACUGAGAAUAAAGUUUCACAGAUUCUAAAUUAAGCUUGCAAAUGGAAAUUAGGAACACAAAGGUACAUAAAUAAGAACUAUGAUAUUAGAAACAGACCCUUUCAGAAGGGUAAAUUCGUAAUUUACAGCACAAACUCUGCAACAAAACAAAUAAUAAAUUAACCUCCACAGUUUGAAUAGCUAGUGCAGGAAAGAAUAGAAAUAUUAACUCCACUAUCAAAGAUGACAAACCCCCUUUAUCAUUGCAUUCCUCCAAACUACUUUCCAUUAUCAGAUCAAGAGUACCUUUGAGCAAGAAUGCCCCAAAUGCACAAGCUCUUCUGCAACGCUCAUGAGGUUGAAGAACCCCUACAUAAAAAAAAACAUACCUUCUCUCAUCCACCCAAAACGCCUUGAGCGCUCAAGGAAGUCAAACAAAUGGGAGAAGCUCACCAGGUCACUAAUGCAACAGAGAUGAAUGAGAUCGUGGAAAAUAGAUGAAACUAAGAAACUUGAUACAGCAUAUUAGCUGCAAAACCACUUACCAACAUAGUAUGUGUUAUUUCCAACAUGCUUGACUCCUAAAGAAUUUGUGGAAGCCAGAAAGCACCAUCAUGGAAAACCGUUUCUUAAUCCCAGUCAAUCAUACUUUCAAUGCUUAGAACAAAGAUUGACAAAUUAUAAAUUAAUCUUGAAAAUGGCCAACUAUAAAUAUGGACAAACCCUUCUACAUGGGCAAAAUCAUAACCUACAGCAGAAGUUACCGCCACAGCACAAACCAUAUAGUAACUUUCACCAUUCCCCAUGAACAGCUAGUAUAGGAAAAAGUAGUAUAAUACCUCCACUAUCAAAGAUGAGAAAGCCCCUUAAUAAAAAAUCAUCUCACUAUGAUCCAUUUCCUUCGAACUGUCUUCCAUUAUCAGGUAAAGAUGCCCUUGAGCAAGAUCACCUGAUGUUGUACAAGCUCUUCUGCGACAUCAGAAAUAACAAACCUAUGACGUGAACUUUAAGUUUGAGAAAAAAAAUAGAAAUAUUAUCAAUUCUAUCAUAAAGGUUGAGGAACACCCUCCAUCAAAAGAGCAUAUCAUGAUCCAAUCCCCCAAGCUAUCUUGAGAGCCGAUGGUUCUGGUCAAACAAAUGAGAGAACAUCACCAGGUCAUUAAUAACACAAAUGACAUUUCUGGAACACAGAUAUGACACUCGAUACAGCAUAUAAAAAGCAGAUCCACUUAUCGAGAUCAUCACUGUCAUGCCCCACAUGCUGUGACCCCUAGAUUAUCAGUGGAAGUGAGGAACCUCGUCAUGAAAAAUCCUUUCUUAACCCUAAUCCUCUAGUAUUGCCUUCACUGAUCAAAUCAAGGUUCUGGUGAAGCAAAUAAAAAGAUUUCUAAAAUACUAACCCAAAUUGCUAAGAUACUAAUCCAAAAGAAACCCCUAUUAAAAAAAAAGGUAAUUAGGAACAUAAAGGCAUCAAAUACUAACUAUGAUAUAAAUAAGGGUGAACCCUUCCAUAUUGGCAAAUAUGGGAAAAAAUUGUAUCCUGCAGCACAAGCUAACACAAAUAAUAAAUUAACCUUCAUGGUUCCACAUGAACAGCUACUGCACAAAAAAGCUAGCAUAAUGAACUCCACGAACACGGAUUAGAAAUUCUAUUCGUUAAAAAAAAAUCGUAGCAUUACACUCCAUUUCCUCUAAACUUUCUUCAAUUAUCAGACCAAGAUACCCUUCAGCAAGAUUGUCCCAUGUUGCAAAAGCUCUUCUGCAACAUCACAAAUAACAAACUAAGAAAGACAUGAACUAAAAGCAUAAGGGGAAAAAAAUACUACGAUCAAUUCAAUAAUCAAAGUGAGGAAACCCCUCAUGAAAAAACAAAUAUACUCCAAUGCAGCCAUAGCAUAUUGAGAACUCACAGUGCUGGUCAAACAAAUGAGAGAAUCCCCAGGUUACUAAUGCAACAGGAAAUCAUGAAACAACUGCCAACAUCAAUCACAAAAUGAUAAACUGCAUGAGAUUAACCAAGAAAUCAAGAUUAUGCCAGACCUAGAUAAGCACUCAAUAUAAAAGGGAUCACCAUCGAAAGUACAGUAGGAGAUGCACUAUAGCAGAUUUAUCACCGACAAACCAGAACUUGUUUAGAGGGACUAUAGGAAACACAAGAGCACAAAGCACCUAAUGAAUCAAAAAGAUGAGCCAAUAAUAGCACCCAAGAACGAAGACGAACUGUGAAGGGACUUGGAAGGUGGACGAGAAUCCUACAAAAUCAAUAUACAAGGAAAAAAUUAGUCCUCCUAACCAAUAAUUAAGAUCUGAAGUACCUUGUAUCUAGGGAGGCAUCAGAUGACCUAGCCCUGCAAAGAUGAUGUCCACCACAUCCUUCCAAAUGCUACAGUAACAACAGCAGUAAUAACCACACUCAACAACACAAAUAGCCAAAAGACUAGGACAUCUUUUGCUUCUAUUUGCAGCAUAAGAUUGCAACUCUAACUCUAAAUGCUCUGGAUCAUGAAAAGCAAAUGCACUAAGUUAUUUAUUCAUAACCCUGACUGAUCAAAAUGAUGAAAUUACACUAUAAUCAAAAUAUAAAUUGGUGAGGAAAUCCCAUAUGAGAACCAAUGUUCUCCAGCUUCUGAGUGUCCAUUAAGUAAUGACUUGGUAUUCUGGCAAACCAAGCUGAACCAGUCAGCAAUAUAAUCUCUAAGUAACAACCAAAUAAGCAGCAGGAAGGGUAGAUUCUGAGAAGCCUCGGCAGAAAUAUCAUGUUGCCACAAUGCUUGACAUAUGAAGUGACAACAUGCAAAGGAAAUGGAAUUUAUCAUUCUAUCAAACCAGUAUAUGAUAGCUCCGAUCAGGUAAAAGGAUCAGUGCAAUUUGACACUUCAACGAUACAACUGCAACCAAACAAAAGGAUUCCAUCAAAAACAAGAGGUUAAAAAAAAUCAUCACUCUGAUCACAUCUUGCUUCUCAGAAUCGAACCAAUUAUUCAAAUCACAAUAUACGACAAACCAUAAUACUUGAAAGGAAAAGGUACACCCUCGAAAAGAAGCAAUCAGAACCCCUGCCUCCACAUCAUCUCUUUUGUUUGAAGAGAUGAUGGAACCUAAAGCAAUCAUCAAGAAUCAAGAACCAUGAAACAUCAGAAGUCUUCGUUCCCUACACUAUAAUAUAUUCAUCAUAUCCAUGUAAUAGAGAAACCCCCUGAAGUCAAUCUGAAUUCCGGCCUCUAAAUCAUGCCUCUCUGGUGACAUCGAGUAUGAAACCUGAAGUAACAUUGAAUCGGGAUCAAGAACUAUCGGCAUUAUAAACAUCAGAAACCAUCAUCUAGCUACAAAAUAAUACUGCCGCGAUGCUUUCAAACAGACCAUGAUGUAUUGAAAAAAAACACUAAAAGCUCAUAAUCCUGCAACGGUUCUUCAACCAAAUACAAGGAAAUCCGGAACUCAUACUGUCGGAUUGGCAACACUCCGAAUCCAAUUAAAACACAUCACCGCUGAUUCCUGGAGAUUAACGAAGAAGCACUUCCAGUUUCAUAAGAUACCUGAACCGCAUAAAUUCCAUUUGAAAAGAGGAAACCUAAAUCACGAAAAACCGGAUUCAAUCCUCAAAUCGACUAAGUCUCGAGGGACAAACCGAUUCUAAUUCUGUAAACCCUAGGACCAUGUCAUAGAAAAAUACCUAACUACUGCAAAUCUUCAAGCGAUCUUCAAGAAAUUCGCUACCUUAAUUACUGCAAAUCUUCAAGAAAUAUUUCCCUGGUGAUUAGACCGAUCAUAAGAACCAUAGAAAACCUAAAUAAAAAAAACAAAAUCGAAGAGAUAUUACUCCAACAAAGAAGAAGAAACGCAGUGAAAGAACAGCCGAACGAACACCAGCAGCACGUCGCGCGCCCGACGGACUCCGGAAGGCUGUGGUGGGCCGCUAUUUAUAGACAAGGUGGGGAAAGAGGAACGGCAGAGAUUGAACGGAUUAGAAGGAAGCGACGGUCAGAUCGGGUAGGCGUUUCUAAAGGCGGUGGGUGUGGGUCCCUUUGUGCUUUCCUGGUCGGUGUCGAAUUUGGACCGAGUCAAAAACGUGCGGAGCCAGCUCAUCACUGAGAUUAACUUGAAUAACAAUUAACUUGUUGUCAACCGGUUAUCCACGUGGAUGAUCAAAAAAUUAUACGAGACCAACGGUUAUGAAUUUGACUCUGGUUAAAAUUGAUUAAAUAAGCUGUUCCAUUCAACACAGCCAUUACUAUUUACUAAGAUGCAAAUGAUUCAAGAUUUUUUUUAGUUAUUAUAUAUAAUAACUAAUAACUAUUGAUUGUUGUGAAUCACUUUUUAACUUUAAAUAUAGAAACAUUUUAAACUUGGAAUAUAUUUUCUAUGAUGAUUUUGAAAUAUAUAAUGACAAUUAUGAGAAAAUGUUUCUCAUGAAGGAUCUCAAAUCUUCCUGCAGACAGUAAUAUUUUCUUUUUCAAAUUUAGCACCUUUUUAGUUUUAAAUGACAGAUUAACAAAACAUGAAUGCUAUCCUCUAUUUAUUUUUUUUAUUGUUAUUUUUAAUAGGAGUUAUAAUCUGCUUUUUGGAAGCAAUUGCAUAUACAAAUAAGCCGAAUAACUACAAAAAUUUACAGUCAUAAACAUCACCAUCAAAUAACCUGUAGAAGGACCUCAUUCAAUUAUGGAUAGAAGUGACAAUAGUUUGAGCCUUUAAUAACCCAGCAUCUCGGCCAAAUAUCUAGUUGAAAGGUAUUAUUUGGAUUUCUUGAUCCCGUAUAAGUACCUGAGAUCUAUCUAGUGAAUGACCGAUGUGGGUCUAAACACAAGCCCGCACGGCUCCUCACAUACUUCUCUAUUCAAGCCUUUACGUCCUCAUCGGACUAAGGGUUCAAAUCUAUUCAAAUCUAAUCACAAACACCACGAUCGGCUUGUUUUCAGCCCUAAUGAACGGUGUUGCUGUGUCUCCUAGUCUACUUUGAUUAUGGGCCGGAUCCGAAGUCAAAUUUGGUCAAUAUCCAUAUCCAUGUCCAAUUUUAGAGUACAGACCUAUUAUAUGUAAAUAAAAUGACUCAACUUGUGCUGAGUUAUCCAUUCUGCACAUGGUACACCCAUAUUAAUGUUAUUAAGGUAGGAUCCUUAUUUAAUACAACUCUUUAUUUUGGAGCAUAACAAUAAUAUCAUUAAUAUGGUUGUUUAUUUUUGACAAUAAACAUGACUCUUAUUUAAUAUAGUUAGAUAUUUAGAAUGCCUAUACUCAUUCAUCAAACUUUCUACUCUUAAUGAGAACUCAUCAUAUUCUUUAUUUUGUUUUUGUUUUUACUCUUAACAAAUUUAUAAAGUAUUAAUGCCUUCAAUUUUGAUAAAAAAAAAUUCUUAUUUUUGAUAAAUAAUCUCUGAUAACACAUUUUUUAGUAUUAUGGUAAUUAGUUUUAAUGUCAAUUACAACCACUAUUCUUUUUUUGCAUCACUUUUUAUUAUCUAAUAUUAUUAUAAUAGCCAUUACAAUAAUAAUUAUAAAUAUCAAAUUAAUAAAAAAAUAUUAUAUAGUAAAUAAUAGUUGUCAUUUACUCUUAUAGCUGAAACAAGAGGAAGAUGGAGUUAUAAUCAUCAUUUCUUAAUAGAGUUUUGUUACGAGGAGUAUUACAUUAUCUAUUUCCUUAAUGAUAAGUGAAUAUAUAUAAGCGAUAGAUAAUAGAGUAUCUUAUUUCAUCUAUAUUAAGUAUUCAUUAUAAAAAGCAGCAAUUAUACUUAUAUAAUUAAUAUUAGUGUAGAUGAUAGUUGUGAAUAUUAUCUAACUAAAAUAGAUAAGUAUUAUUCUCAUCUAAAUUGAUAUUACUAUAUCAAUUUAGAUAUUUAAUGAAAGUUUUUACUCAGUCAUCAUCAAAGUUUAUUGUUUAAUGUGCAACAUAAAUUUAGCUAUUGAAGCCUUCUAUUCAUUAUGAUUUAAUAUAUUAUUAUAUUAUAAUUAAAAAGUAUUUGGAAAAAGAGAAAAAUUUGUAUUUGUGAAGGAUCAAUAUUCUACCAGGUAUAUAAUAUAUGAACUAAACAAUUUUUUUGUGUUGUGGUAUAUCUUUUGAUUAAUUUAAGUCUCUUGAUACCAAACACAAGUUAGCUUAAAUAAUUAACUUUUAGAGCAUGCACUUUACUCAAGAAAGAGCAUUUGAAUCAAAACAACUUGAAAAUAUCAUGUAUCUAAUUCUGUGUUAUAAUUUUUUUAAUUACUAUGACAUAUGCGAUAGAGAAAGACAAAAAGAGAGGUCUCUGAGGCUGUAUUAUUAAAUUUAUUAUCUUUAAUUUUCAAAAGAGAAAGAAAUGUUUUUGUCUUUGAUAAUGAUGCAAAUCUUGAUUUAUUAAAAGCUUGUUUUGUCACUCGUAAAGCUUUGAGCAACAUCUUAAACAUCUUAAGGACAUCGGGUAUUACUCGUAUUUUGUUAUUUCUCUUUUUUUCUUUUGUUAGUUGUAGCCAUUUUUGAUAUAUCCUAUGAGAGUUGAAUAUAUUUUCAAAAUUGAUUGACUCAAGCUUCAGCAUGAGAUAAUCAUUCUCUUAUCAGAUGUUAUAAAAUGCAAUACAUUGUCUUUGUACAAUUGUGAAGAUCCUUAAUUAUUCUUACUGGCUUGAUCAAGCUAGUUUUUUACUAGGUAUAGAGAAAUAUGAAAAGAUAUCUCCGCAUCUGUAUGACAAUCAUUUUUUCUUGCUGAGAGAGAGAUUAAUGAGAAAGUAGAGAAUGACCAACGUCUACAAUUACUCUAGGAGGUGAGAUGAUUUAUAGAUAGCCCCCGCAGAACGGUUGGCUGUCGAUGGUUUAAAAAUAAAGCUUUAUUCCUUUUAUUUUGUUCUUUUAUUUUGAUAAUAUCCAACAGUCAACAUCCAGAAAGAUGAUGUAGACCGGUCCAUGAUAGAAACAUUCAACAUCCGGCACUAGGAUCAGAGCCCAGGAUCUCUGAAGACUUCAGAAGGGGCCCCAUGGUGACUUAGUGUGCUUGUUGGACCAUUAACAGACCUCAUAGAGAUGGACGGUCCUUGCAUAAAUAUAAUGGCUUCAGGUCUACAAUAACCUCAGGUAGUUUCCUUGGUGCUCAGAGGCUGGUUGACCCAAGCGCACUUUGGGAUGCAAAGUAUGUGCCUGUAUGACUCAGUGGAUAAAGGGCCAUUGGUCAGAAAUGAUGCACAGGAAAAGAAUUCCAUGAUGAAUUUUUGCUAAAGAUCAAUUUUGAUCAUAGUGUGAAGAACAAAGGAGCAAAAGGAGUAGCAGCUUUUGUCAUUAGAGGCUUGGAAUUCAUCGGUGCACGUAGCUGCCACCUAUACGAUGUCUUAGUCCUUGGGGAAGAGUUGAGAGGAGCCUCGAAGGGCAUGAGGUUUGCCAUGACCAUACUUCAGGCAAACCAACUCAUUCUAGAGGGAGAUUUAUCCUCUAUUAUUGGGCGGGUGUCUAAGCCGGUGGCACAUGGAGGACCCUGCCCUGUCCUUGGAGACAUAUGGAGGAUGAUUAGAAGUUUUGACAGCUUCCAAACAUUCCAUGCUUAUCAGAAAGCGAACAGCGCAACUGACUAGGUAGCUUAGUUUGUGGCAGAACACACAAAAAAAAAUGAGUGGGUACCAAGAGGGCUCUUCGAGUGCAAUUAGAGAAUUCUUUGUACUCCGACAAUAUUAGAUGUAUUCAUAUUAGAUUUGUAUGAAUUGUCCGUUCCAACAACUUAAAAUAAAAUAUUAUCAAAUUUUCAGCAAUAUUUUUAAAUAAAUAAUUCAAGUAAUGAUAUUUUUUUCUAUCCAUUUGUUAGUCAUUUAUGACCCACUUACAUAAAAACUAUCAAUAUAGACAUUUCGAAAAGCAAAAUAUGUUUAUAUAAAUUAAUAAAUCACUUUUAAAUAAAUUAUUAGAAAAUAUAUUUUUUAUUAUAAAUAAAUUUUAAUAGUCUCAAUUUUUUAUUAAGUAAAUAUAUUUAAACACAAUGACACCAUUAAUUGAUUAGUUUGAAGGAAAUCAAAUCAUUAUAUAAGAAACAAAAAUUUGGAUUUAACAUACUUGUACAUUAACAUACAAAAAGAGAAAAAUAUUUCCAUCAAACAGCAACGAUUUCCGAUUAUCUUGACUCAAUAAUUUGACGUAGAAAAAAAAAUACUACUCUUCUAGUAAUAUUUACCUUCUCUCUAAAUAAAAUAAACAUAAAAUUCAUCAUUUAUUUUACCAUCUCACCCAUCCACUUUUCGUACCAAAUAUAAUGAUGUAAUAUAAAAUUUAUUUUCUCCUAUUAAAUUACCUUCAACCAAAUGAACUUACAGAAAUAAAUCACUUGGUUGUUUAGGGCAUGCUAAUAGUUUUUAUAUUACUAGUUGAGCCGUACAAUUUUCUUAUGCAUAGCGUCAAGCACUGCACCGAUGUGACAGUCAGAAAUUGAAAUGGUACAUAGGAAGAUCUUCGUGGACUGAGGAGGAGAGAUAGAUGCCAGCUUAAUUUAUCAUUUUGGUAAAGAAAAAAUGCUAAAGAUCAUUAACCAGAUCUCCACUCAAUUCACAGGUGAUUGGAUAAAUAACAGACAGGGCCCAAAUCCUCUUUUGAACAUCCCUUAAAAUGCUAAAGAUUUAUGUAAGCUUAUUAUUAUGUCAACAUUAAUUGCAAACCAAAACCUUCAAAAUUUUGUACAUUUUCCAUUAUAUCAAUAUUUAUUAUUCAUCAGACUCACAAAGUAGUAGAGUUUUAUAUUAAAGUUGCUACCUCAUCUAAAAAAUUUAUGUCUAUUCAUCAAUAUACUGCCGAUUCUUUUCAUUCUUGUAUUCUCAUGUGGCGUUAUUACUCGUCGAGACUUGCAGCAUAAGGGUAGAAAGUGAAGUGACAGGCAAGUCAAGAUCACUUUUUGUCAUCCGGCCAUAAGCCCCAAAAAGUGUUAUUAGACUUAAACAAAUUAUCAUUAGCCCCCUCCACUUUUUGUCAUCCGGGCUGGGGACCGGCAUUGGCAGUGUUAAGCUAUAAAAAUAACGUACAUUAAAGGCGUACAAAACUAUAGCACAUAAAUAAAUGUCCAGUAGCCAUAGAAAACAUUGAAACAGUACGCAUAAAAGCAGGAUGACGCCUAAGUCAAACGUUCUUUUCAAGGUCUGUGAAAAACUACCCACUACUAACCUAUACUUUUAGGACUGGUAACAAAAAGAAUGAUGCCAGGCCAAAAAAUCUGACGUGGACUGCAGAAGAAAAGCAACCAACAUCUUUUAUCCCUAAUAUAUAAAAACUAAUUGCGAGAUCCAGACAAAUAUUCAGGUAAAAAAACACCAAAAUUCAAAUAGGAAGGAGAAGAAAAAAAUGGUCAAUCCAACCAAAUGAUUCAUAAAUUGAAGAUAUGAUAAAACAGAACAUGAACGUUGCCUUAAAUUUUGUUGUAGUCCAACAUCCGUACCAAGCACAAAAGCCAAUUCAACAUCACAAAUUCAGACAGGCUCAAAUCACCAUAAACAAGAUAUUGACCAUGACCAUGAAAGAAUGAAUUACUAAAUGAACUUCACACUCCAAUCAACAAUCCACAUCACCACAAAUAUGAGAAAGCUCUAUCAGGAGAAUCCUCACACCAUUUGUCUCACCUUUUCUAGUAGUGUGCAAUUGUGGUGAAAAUAAAACAUUCUCACAAACUGGAUCAGUUGUCACACUAUUUUCCAUAGAUAUACCGGCUCUCUACCAUGCAGUUGGACCCCGGAACACAUCAGCAAUAAAGACUAAAGAUGGAAAAGCAUAAGCCCAAGAAUGUACUAUCAUCACGGUUAGAUUUUUCCCACCACCAAUAAUGCAGACGACUAGUCAAAGCCAAGAGCACUUAUAAAUAAAAUGGAUUCUGCAUAACAAUAAAUUAAAUGUGACCUACCGCAAAAAUUAUAAAAAGGCAUAUGAAGAUAUUCAAUUUGCAACAUCAGCUCAUCACCAGCAAACAAUGCGACAGGUUUGGUAAAAGGCAAAAUUGACUAAAGGAAUCACAAUAAUGGAAAUGAUCAUCAAGUCAAAAAAAUGUUAGCAAGGAAGAGUUCAAAAAUGCCACUUGCAUCACAUACAAGUUCACUUAUCAAUGUUAGCAUACACAUUAUUCCCAAGACCUUUCAUGUCCUACAGAACUGAUGUUGAAUGGUGCCAAACAUCAGCUAACAAUUAGCCGCAAGUCUAUGAAGGGGUGAAAAGGAAGCUCAACAGAGAUGAGCAAAUCCAAGUUACCUACAUUGGUUCCCUGGUAUACCAAACCCAUCAACUAACUGAAAACCAACAACAACAAACCAAUCUAAAAGAAGCUAAAGGUCUGUAAAUAGUAACAAAUAUAACAAAUGUCAUAAGUUUGUAAGCCCCUUCAGUCGGACUGUCCCCUAAAAACCCAAAUAGUAAAAGAAUUUACCCUUUCAAAUAAAAACACUGCCACGAAAAAAAAUCAUAUGAACAAUCCAACUAUCAAAUGCAAUGAAUCAUCAUCAUACAAAAAAAAAACAUAAUAGCCAAUAUAGAUCCUGGAGAAAAUCAAGUCCAUUGAACAGAUGUUCACGAUAUGGGUACUAAGUACCACACUGGUUUGGUACCGAAACUCAAUAUAGUACAGUAUGGUACGGUACCAUGCCAUACCAACCCUCGAUCUCAAUACACAGAAAUGCACUGACAAGCUGUAACAGACAGUAUACCACAAACAUUAACUAAUCAAAAACAAAUAUUAGUAAACACACUAGAACAGUAUAAUAUGCAAUGUAAUUAAGUAAACCCUUUCACUUAAGCCGGAUUUUCCCAUGAAUAACAAUCUAUUCUGCAACAAUGCAAACAAUAUAUUACUAAAUACACCUUGAAAACAGGGAAAAAAAGAAAUUACAACUCAACUACCAAAAUGUGACAGAUCCCUUUCCAGAAUUCAUUUCUUCAGUUCCUUCACAUUUGUCUCCACCGAUCAAAUGAAGGUUUAGGUUAGACAAACAGGAGGAAAUCCUAGUUGCCAACAGAGAGAUGAUUCAGACUUUGCACUGAAGCUGAGGGGAAAAAUAAAAAGACCUGACAAAUUGUAACAGAUACAAAGUCACUUUCCACAGCAAAAUACAUAUCGAUUCAGACAUACCAAUACCUACAAGCCAACAAAGAAGNNNNNNNNNNNNNNNNNNNNNNNNNNNNNNNNNNNNNNNNNNNNNNNNNNNNNNNNNNNNNNNNNNNNNNNNNNNNNNNNNNNNNNNNNNNNNNNNNNNNNNNNNNNNNNNNNNNNNNNNNNNNNNNNNNNNNNNNNNNNNNNNNNNNNNNNNNNNNNNNNNNNNNNNNNNNNNNNNNNNNNNNNNNNNNNNNNNNNNNNNNNNNNNNNNNNNNNNNNNNNNNNNNNNNNNNNNNNNNNNNNNNNNNNNNNNNNNNNNNNNNNNNNNNNNNNNNNNNNNNNNNNNNNNNNNNNNNNNNNNNNNNNNNNNNNNNNNNNNNNNNNNNNNNNNNNNNNNNNNNNNNNNNNNNNNNNNNNNNNNNNNNNNNNNNNNNNNNNNNNNNNNNNNNNNNNNNNNNNNNNNNNNNNNNNNNNNNNNNNNNNNNNNNNNNNNNNNNNNNNNNNNNNNNNNNNNNNNNNNNNNNNNNNNNNNNNNNNNNNNNNNNNNNNNNNNNNNNNNNNNNNNNNNNNNNNNNNNNNNNNNNNNNNNNNNNNNNNNNNNNNNNNNNNNNNNNNNNNNNNNNNNNNNNNNNNNNNNNNNNNNNNNNNNNNNNNNNNNNNNNNNNNNNNNNNNNNNNNNNNNNNNNNNNNNNNNNNNNNNNNNNNNNNNNNNNNNNNNNNNNNNNNNNNNNNNNNNNNNNNNNNNNNNNNNNNNNNNNNNNNNNNNNNNNNNNNNNNNNNNNNNNNNNNNNNNNNNNNNNNNNNNNNNNNNNNNNNNNNNNNNNNNNNNNNNNNNNNNNNNNNNNNNNNNNNNNNNNNNNNNNNNNNNNNNNNNNNNNNNNNNNNNNNNNNNNNNNNNNNNNNNNNNNNNNNNNNNNNNNNNNNNNNNNNNNNNNNNNNNNNNNNNNNNNNNNNNNNNNNNNNNNNNNNNNNNNNNNNNNNNNNNNNNNNNNNNNNNNNNNNNNNNNNNNNNNNNNNNNNNNNNNNNNNNNNNNNNNNNNNNNNNNNNNNNNNNNNNNNNNNNNNNNNNNNNNNNNNNNNNNNNNNNNNNNNNNNNNNNNNNNNNNNNNNNNNNNNNNNNNNNNNNNNNNNNNNNNNNNNNNNNNNNNNNNNNNNNNNNNNNNNNNNNNNNNNNNNNNNNNNNNNNNNNNNNNNNNNNNNNNNNNNNNNNNNNNNNNNNNNNNNNNNNNNNNNNNNNNNNNNNNNNNNNNNNNNNNNNNNNNNNNNNNNNNNNNNNNNNNNNNNNNNNNNNNNNNNNNNNNNNNNNNNNNNNNNNNNNNNNNNNNNNNNNNNNNNNNNNNNNNNNNNNNNNNNNNNNNNNNNNNNNNNNNNNNNNNNNNNNNNNNNNNNNNNNNNNNNNNNNNNNNNNNNNNNNNNNNNNNNNNNNNNNNNNNNNNNNNNNNNNNNNNNNNNNNNNNNNNNNNNNNNNNNNNNNNNNNNNNNNNNNNNNNNNNNNNNNNNNNNNNNNNNNNNNNNNNNNNNNNNNNNNNNNNNNNNNNNNNNNNNNNNNNNNNNNNNNNNNNNNNNNNNNNNNNNNNNNNNNNNNNNNNNNNNNNNNNNNNNNNNNNNNNNNNNNNNNNNNNNNNNNNNNNNNNNNNNNNNNNNNNNNNNNNNNNNNNNNNNNNNNNNNNNNNNNNNNNNNNNNNNNNNNNNNNNNNNNNNNNNNNNNNNNNNNNNNNNNNNNNNNNNNNNNNNGGAGUCGAGUCGCGUUUCUCAGGAGUCGACUCGGCUCUCAGGGUCGAGAAUUGCUCUCUGACUUUUUUGUCUGUAACUCCCUGGAGUCGACUCAUACUACUCCAGAGUCGACUCGGCAAGCUUCGGAGUCGACUCGCGCUCUUCAGGAGUCGACUCGCUGACAGGUUUUGAAUUGAGUCUUUCUGUUCAUCUGUCUGUUCUCAGUCGGAGUCAACUCGUAAUAUUCCGGAGUCGACUUGAGCCUGUGCCAGUGCUUCUGAUACGCUUGGAGUCGACUCGUAAUAUCCCGGAGUCGACUCGAGUCUCAGACUUUGGUUCAACUUGACUUCUUAACUUAUCCAAAAUAUCUUGAACCAAGUCUAGACGCACUUAACCAUAAAUUUAUAAGAUUUUUACUGAAACACUAGAUUGAAUUCAUUAGUAAACAAGAGAUAUACUCAAAUGCUUUGAGCUCAUCAAAAUCAAAUAGGGUUAUGAUCAAUCACUCCACAGAAGAGCAGCAUAGGAACAAACAUUAGAAUCAAAAUAUAAACCAAAUCCAUGAAAAAAAAAGAAAAACGCCAAUCACACAUGAUGAAAUCUAGGAUUUUUCAAAAUUUCCCAAGUUCCAAAACUUGAGGGACCAAUAACAAAUUACAAAAUUACAUUGAUAAAAGUUAAUCAAGAAAAUAAAACAAAGGCUUAAUAGAAGUUCAUUUCUUCACUCCAGUUCCGAGUAUGACAUUCACUGAUGAAAUCAAGGUUCUUAUAAAGCGGAUACUAACCCACAAGUAAAAUUUGGGUAUUUCAAACAAAGAUGAAGAAAAUAGACCCUGGCAGCAUAACAGCUACUAUGUCAUUUAUCGACAACUGAAUUUAUAUCGCUUCCAUGAUACACCAAACAGCAAGGCAUAGUGAGUGAGACAAGAGCCAAAUUAUACCCAAGCCCAACAGGAAGAAAAUAGAACCCAUUGCAAAUCGCACUUCAGCACUAAUCAAAAUCUGCAGUACAAUUGACGAAUUACAAAUUAGUACUGAGAAAGGCAAUAAGAAACAUAAACAUAUAUAAACAAUAACCACAAUAUAAAGGACACUCUUCCGCCUUGGGAAAAUUGAGCCAUAAAACGCAAGCAUGUCUGCAACAGCAGAAAUGAUAAAUUGAUCUUCCAUAUUAACAGCUAGUAUAAGGAAAAAUUAGCAUAACAAAAUCCACUGUCAAACAUAACGAUUAGAAAAAUCACAUCACUGAACUCCAAUUCUCCAUAAGGUCCUCAAUUCCUGGAUCAGGAUACCCUUCAGCAAGAUAGUCCCCUGUUGCACAAGCUCUCAUUCAACAACAGAAUUCACAGUUACCUAUCACAUGAAUGUUACUUUCAGGAAAAAACUAGUACAAGUGUACAACCAAUCUUACAGUAAAGGUUGAGGAAACCCAUUCAUGUGCACCAAAAAAAAAACAAUUCAUACUUCAAUUCAUCUAUGUUAUUUGAGUGAUCAAGGUCCUCAUCAAAGAAAUGAGAAAAGUCCAACAGCAAUAAUUGAAAUUUUGGAACAUAACAGAACCAAACUCAAUACAGAAUAUCAGCUACAAAUCCACUUAUCGACACAGCAUCCAUACCAUUCCCAAAGUGCUUCAACACUCAGAACCCGUACGGCAUGGAGGCAACAAGAAAUAAUCUAAACCCAAUGGUGAAUCAGAAUGAAUCUCAUCAAUGAUACCAAAUCAAUUUUCAAUGAACAUCAACAGCCCACAGAUACUGGUCAGACAAAUAAGACCCACCAAGAAUAUAUAAGAUUUUGGAACAAGGAUGAAACAAAGAAACAACACAUAUAUCAGCCAAAAAUCCACUUAUCAACAUAGCAGCCAUAUGUUCUCCAAUAUGUUUUUGACUCCUAAAGUAGGUGUUGCAUGCAGAUAGAAGACAAAGCCAAAAGAUUGCCUGCCCUACGGGACAUAAAAAUGAAGCUCACCAAAGAUAAUCAAAUCCAUAAUCUAAGCAUAUCCACAGCCUACAGUAUACCAAAACCAUCAACAUUCUCAAUAUUGAUAAGAAAACAAUUAAAAAAGUUAACAGUCCAUAAAAUGACUACUACAGCAAAUGAAUGGUGUACCUAAUGGACCCCCUUCCCUUCAUCCAAAAUGACAUGUAAAACCGUGACAGCACAUAUAGUAGAUUAUUAUUCUUUAAUCCUUUCAUAUAACCCACUAUAUUGGAGAGCAUACAAUUAAUACAAUAAUUCAACUAUAAAUAAGCAAUCAUCGUGAAAAAACAUUUCCUCACACAAUUCCUCCAUAUUGCCUUCACUGAUCAAAUCAAGGUUUUGUUGAAACCAUGGUCUGCCAAGCUGACCCGAACUACCCAAUUCGGGGCAUCUCGAACUGGUGAGAAACCAAGUCAAUUUGGCUUCUUGAUUGGGAAACCAUUCUGAACCAGCUCGAACAAAACCAAGCGGAACCGUUUGGUUUUGCUCGAUUCGGAGUGGUUUAAGUCCAUUUGAGGCAACAUGUGACCAAAAAAGAGGGGAAAGGCCAUGAGAAACCAUUCUCCUCUCUAUUCUUCAAAAAUUGUGAAGGAAAGGUAGGUUCUGUGAGAACAAACCCAUAGGACAAAUUCGUGACCUACAGCUGAACAGCACAAAGAAUAAAUUAAAAUACACACUUUCCCUUGAACAGCUAGUAUAAGAGAAAUUGUAUAACUCCAGUAUCAAAGAUGAGAAACCCCCUUCAUAAAAAUCAUAUUAUUAUAUUCCAAUUCCUCCAAACUGUCUUCCAUCAUCAGAUCAAGAUGCCCUUGAGCAAGAUUGUCAAAUGCCGCACAAGCUCUUCUGCAACAUCAGAAAUAACAUACUAAACAAGUACACUAAGCAUAAGAGUAAAAAAAAUGGAGUAGAACAAGUUCUACAAUCAAGGUUAAGGAACCUCCUCCAUGAAAAAUACAUAUCAUGCUCCAAUCCACCCAGACUGUCUUGAGCACUCAAGGUCCCCACUGUCCCACUGGUAUUUAAAACCUUGGUGAUGGUCAAACAAAUGAGAGGAAGUCACAAGGUUACUGGAACAACAGGAAUGAAUGAGAGGUUUAAUAAGACUUGGAACAUAGAUAUGAAACAUAGUACAGCAUAUCAGCUGCAAAACAACUUAUCAACAUAGCAUCCAUCUUGUUCCCAACAGAAUUGAGCCUCCAUAUUGCCUUCCUGAUCAAAACAAUAUUUUGGCGAAGCAAAUAGAAAGAAUUAUUAAGAUAUCAACCCAAAGGAAUAAAACCAACUAGUGAAAAAAAAAGGGUAAUCAGGACCAUAAAGGUAUCAAACAAUAAGUACAACAUAAACAAGGACAAACUCUUCCAUAUGGGCAAAACUCUGUCUUACAGCACAAGCUCAUCUGCAACAGAACAAAUAAUAAAUUUACUUUCAUGAUUCCACAUGAACAUCUACUGUAGGGAAAAGCUAGUACAACAAACUUUUCAUAUCAAGGUACCCAUAAGCAAGAUUAUCCCAUGAUGCCCAAGAUCUUCUGCAACAGCGGAAGUACAAACUGACCUAUCACAUGAACUCUACGUGUAAGAAGAAAAAUUAAUAAAACCAAUUCUAAGUCUAGGUUGAGGAACUCCAUGAAUGAAAAAGCAUAUCAUACUCCAAUUCACCCAGACUACAUUAAGCAUUCAAGUUACUGGUCAAACAAAUGAGAGGAAAACAUCAAUGCAAUAGGAAUGAAUGAAAUUUUGGAACACAGAUGAAACUAAGAAACUUGAUACAGCAAAUCAGUUGCAAGUAUUUUAAUUAGCAAUUCACUGGUUCUAGUGAAACAACUGUAAGAAUCAAUAAGCUAAUAACCCAACACAUAUGAUUAACAGUAUGGAAUAAAGAUGAAAUUAGAAUAAUGUGCAUCAAAUAUUAACUCAUAUAUCCACUGUUGGAUUCAUUUUGUUUCCAACAUGCACCAAGUAGGACUCCCAUGGAGUGGGAGACUAGGGCCUAAACCAUGAAAAUGUGACUGUUUACAAGUAACUGAAUCCAGACUUUUACAGAAUUUGAACAAAUGUGCAUCGAGAAUUAAGUCCUGCUGGAUUCAUUUUGUUUCCAAGAUGCACCAGCACUACAAGGAGUCAAACAUUAGGGCCUACAUGAAAAUGAAAUUGGUUACAGGAUAAUUUUACAGAAUUUGCCUUGAUCAAUAAGGAAUAUAUUCUCUUAUUUCGUGUUGAACCAGNNNNNNNNNNNNNNNNNNNNAACUGAAUCCAGACUUUUACAGAAUUUGAACAAAUGUGCAUCGAGAAUUAAGUCCUGCUGGAUUCAUUUUGUUUCCAAGAUGCACCAGCACUACAAGGAGUCAAACAUUAGGGCCUACAUGAAAAUGAAAUUGGUUACAGGAUAAUUUUACAGAAUUUGCCUUGAUCAAUAAGGAAUAUAUUCUCUUAUUUCGUGUUGAACCAGCAUUGAUAAACAGUCAAAUAAGAAGACAGAAGUCAACAAACAAUAGCCACAAUAUAAACAGUAAGGCAAAUUGCUUCCCAUAACAUAAGAUCUGCAAAAGCAACAAAUAUAACAGCUUAAAUUAUCACAUCAACAACAGUCCAAUUCCCAUAUCUCAAAUGACCGAAUCAGGGUACUGGUGAAACGAACUGGAGAAAACAAUUAAACCACUAACCAAAAGGAAUUAUUGGCACCUUAAAACAAAUUUAACCCACAGAUACCUCAAUUACAUGUAAAAGCUACAAGAUCACUAAUCGACAGUGUCAUUCAACACGCACCAGGAUGUACUGUAUCCUACAAUCUGUCAGAGAUGAAAAGAUGACCAGAGAUAGCGUAUUAGAAGAUAAUAAAGCUCAUUAAAAACAAACCAAAUCAGAAUUCUCCGGAUUUGACCGAAUCCAAAACAUGAACUAACUAAUUAUAAAGCAGAUUCAACAAAAGGCAAUAAGGAAGACAAUGUUUCAUAAACAAUAGCCACAAAUAUAAAGAAUGGCUUAACUAAGUGGGUCCCUAGAUCCCUUAAGCAAGACUAUUUCAAACACUACAAGCCCUUCAACAGAGAUAAUAAAUUAAUGUUUCACAUUACUCCUCGCACAGGUCAAAGAAUUAAAAUUUGCCAAACAGCUACAACUGAAAGUUCGGGUAAUCCCAUAAGCUGUUAAAAUGAGGGCAUGAUUAGAUGGAGGAAUAAUUCCACAAACCAACUGAAAUACAAACAUCCCUCAAAUACUAGAUAACAGUGAAAACAAGACAUAACUGUAUUAUAAGAAAAGUGAUUAUAAAGAACCUUGAAGGAGUUACCAUAGAUUAAGAUUGGCAGUUGAUGAUGUUAUUAAACAUAUACCAAGUAUAGCAUCUCCAUAAGAGGAAAUCUGAUAGCAAAAACAACAGAUGUGAUGGGCCUUAUGGUGGAUAAAAUUCAUGAAAUGUUGAGUAAUAGGUGAACUACAACCAAAAAGUGAGAUCUUACUAAUCCCAAAGCUAUCAACUGGAAGAAGCAACAUCAACAGACCAUAAGAUCAACCUGCAAACCACUACCAUUAGCUUGUUAUGAACAUGGUCAUGACUAGAUGCAACGAAUUUGCAAAUAAAAAAAAAGAAAUAAAAAUUCGCAAACUUUCUAUUUACCACACGAGCAAAUAUAGGUACAAGUACACAACCAAGACUUUCAGAGAACCAACCAAAAAGCCAAGAGCAGGUUAUCUCAGACAAGACCCUAGUCAUUGAAUAACAGCAAACAAUUAGGAUAAAGGAGGAAGCAAAUGAUAUCUAAAGGAAGAAAUAACCUUGAUUUUCAGGCCCUCAGCAAUUGCCAAGCUCAAGCUCUUGCAAAUAUGACAAAAAAAACACAAUAAUAAUUCACAUCUAGCCCACAGAAUAUGAAUAAUUUCAUGUACCAGAGCAGUCGCUCUGUCAGCAAAUCAUCUCUGCUUUUUGCUCUACGCAGUCGGCCAGUAGACUGAGUAGCAACAAGAAUGGUGAAAAAGAUGGUGGAUGAGUCCCAUAUAAUAGAUAAUCAGAACCUGAAAUACCUUGUAUCUCUGGAGCCAUCCAACAACUCCAACCCGUCGAACAUGAUGUUCAUUAUAUCCUUACAAGUACUACAGCAAAAGCAGCAAAGACCCAAUAACACAAACGAACAAAUGAAUAAGACAUUUAUAGCUUCAUAAUUGCUCCUCUAAAUGCUCUGAAUCAUGAAAAGCGAACACAAUCAAUUCGUCAGUUUGAUACUGGUAAAACGAGGUGAAUUGAGCAGUAUAACCUGAAGUAACAACGGAAUAAAGAGCAGAGGAAAUAUAUCCUAAGAAGCCACAGAAGAUGACUAAAGAUCAGAAGAAACUAUUAUGUCCCCACAGUGCUUGCCAACAGUAUAUGAUAGCUCUGAUCAGGUAGUGCAAUUUGUUGCCACAACAAAUCCUACCGCAACCAGACAGAAGGAUUUCAACAAACACAAGAAGUGGAAAAAAUCAUCUCACUGAUCACAUAUUGCUUCUCUGAAUCAAACCAAUUGAUCAAAUCUCAUUAUCUGAACAAAAUGAAAAUAAUCAAAGGAAAAGAAACCCCCUUCAAAACAAAACCAAUGUGGACACCUGCUUUAACAUCAUCUCUUUGAGUUGAAUUACUUGGAAAACAAGGGCAGCCUUCUCAAAAAUUGGAACCUAGAGAAACCAUCAAGAAUCAAAAACCAUGAUUAGAUUAAGCAUCAAAAUUAGAAAUCACUGUCACACUGCACAAUAAUAUUUUCAUCAUGUUUCAAACCAACUAAUCAAACCACCAUGUAAUAAAGAAACCCCCUUCACAAGAACUUCCGGCCUCUAAAUCAUGCCUCUUAUGUCCAACAUCAGAAUAUGGAAACCAAAAUAACACCGACUUAGAAUCAGGAACAUUCUCCGAAACAUAGAAACUGCUUCCAUGAUGAUUUCACACUGAAAAUAUUAUUAAAACAAAUACUGAAAACUCGUAACCCCAGCACCAGUGCUUCAACCGAAUGCAAGAAAAUCAUGAAGUAAAUCUGAACUCGGACUGUCAGAUUGGCGAUACUCAAAAAUCCAAUCAGAAUACACCACAGCUGAUUCCGGCAGAUUAACGAUGGAGCACCCCCAAUACCAGAAGAAAGAAACCUGAACCACUUGGAUUCUUUUUUAGGAAAAAAAGGAAACUAAACCACAAGAGACCAGAUUCAAUCGUCAAAUCCUCAAACAAGAACAAACAGCUCAAAAUUCUGCGAACCCUAAAAACCAAGUCGCAAAAAAUUCCUUAAUUACUGCAAAUCUUUAACUUAAAUUCAUCCUCUGAAUCAUGCCUAUCUUGUCCAACACCGUAAGAUGGAAUCUAUAGGUAACAUUGAAUUGGCAUCAGGAACAUCUCUUUUGAGACAUCCAGAAACCACUAAUCAGGCUGCAAAAUAAUGCUUGUGUGAUGCUUUCAAACUGAAAAUAGAAUUAUUAAAAUGAAUACCAAAAACUGUAAUACUGGCAGCAGGAAAAUCAUAAGCAAGUCUGAACUCAUACUGUCGGAUUGGAAAUAUUCAAAAGCGAUUAAUACAUUGCAACAAAUACGUGUAGAUUAACAAAAGAGCACUCCCAGAUCCAACCAAAAAAAAAAACUCAAUCCACUGGAAUUCUUUUCAAAAAGAAAAAAGUCACAUGAAACCAGAUUCGAUUGCCAAGUCAAAAAGACUACUGCAAAUCUUCAAGAAACUCACUACCUUAUUAAAUGCAAAUCUUCUAGAAAUCUACAUCCACUUGCAAGCAACAAUAGAGUAAAACCAUCAAUAAUCUUUAUCUGAUAAUGAAAUUAAGAAGCCAACAGUAAUGUAAAUAAUUAAAAUAUAAUGAAAUCGCAUAAGCCAGUGAGCCCCUUCCAUUCAUCGGCUGAAAUGUCACCUAUAGUACUACCGCCAAGGUUCGCUGUACCGGUCGGUACCAGUCGGUACCGAGCGUACCGUACCCGUACCGAUGGGUACUGGUAUCGGUACACCAAUGUCGGUACGGUCGGUACCGAGCGUACGGUACCGUACCGACACUCGGUACGCCUAUACUAGUGCGGCACCGGUACGGGGUUCGGUACCGGUACGGCGAACCUUGACUACCGCCAUCAUCAACAGUUGCUUCAUUCCUUGGAUUCCCCCAUGGUGGCUUCACUGAUCAAAUCAAAUUUCUGGUGAAGCAAAAGAGAGAAAUACUGACCCAUAUCAAAAGUUACUCACUCACUCAGCAAUAGCAGCUAAAAUGUAACAGCUACUAAGUCACUCAGCAGUAGCAGAAUAUAUAUCAAUUCCCAUACACACCAAUGCAUGAAAAAUCACCGCUUUACUUGGACUGCUCCAUUCUGCCUUCACUGAUCAAAUCACUUUUCUGGUAAGGCAAAUGACAGGAUUGCCAAAGAUAACAAAAUAUUUAAGUAAUUGGAACAAGUAUGAAAAAAACAGGCCCAGAAUAAGGGUAGCAGCUACUAUUAUAUCAGUUCUAAGACACGCCAUAGCCUACGAAAUAUAGUUUCAUGAUUAUCAAGACAAGCAAUAUAGUGCAAAUCCAACAGGAAAAAAAUGAAGCCCAUUACAAAUCAUAAUCCAGCAUUUUCCAAAAUAUACCAAGGGACCAGAUACAUUAAGAGAACACAAGCUAAUAAUGGAAAAAGGUGAUUAUUAGGUACACAAAUGCACGUAAACAAUGACUAGGAUUUAAAGGACAAACUCUGCUCUUCGCCUUGGAAAAAUUGCAUGCUGCAACAUAAGCACAAAUCAAUCUUCCAUGUGAAUAGUUUGUGUAGGAAAAAAAUAUCGCAAACUCCCAAAGCGAACCCUCUUAAUAUAAAAUAACAACAUUACACUCCAGUCUUUCAUAUAGUCUUCAAGAUCAAGAUACCCUGAGAAUGAUUGUUUCCCUGUUGCACAAGCUUUUCUGCAACAACAGAAAUAACAAGUUAUCUUAUCACACAAACUCUAAGUAUCAGGGAAAAUGACUAUAACUGAUUCUACAAUCAAGGCUGAGGACAACACCAGUGAAAAAGGUCAUAUCAUACUCCAAUUUGUGCGUACAUCCUAUAACGAUCAAGAAGCGGGUCAAUGAAAUGAGAGAUGAUCACCAGGUUACUAGAUCAAUAAGAAUGAGUGAUAUUCUUGAACCAAGAGAUAUCAGCUACAAAGCCACUUAACAAAAUAGCCUCCAUAUCAUAUGCUUUCGCACCUAAAGAACUGGCACUGCAUGAAGAUGAACACGAGCUAGAAAAUAGCUUCAACCCUAUGAAAUAAAAAAAAGGAUCAUCAAAGAUAACCAAAUCCAGAAUCUACUUACCUCCAUAGCCUAUAGUAUACAAAAACCAUCAAUAAUCCCAUUAUCUAUUUUACUAUAUAACACCAACUCCCUUAAUAUCUCAAUGCAUGAGGUGUGUCAGACCAUCAAUGUUUCCCCACCCAUGUUCCAUGUUUGCGUUUUCCCUUCAGUGCGGCUGUUACCAACAAGAUCAAAAAGUCCGAGUCCUUCCUCAUCAAAAAAUAAUGUGCAUCCCAUAUGCCGCAUCCUUGAUAAACAAGCAAUCAAGAAAGCAGGUCAGUUUCAUCAGGUUAUUUCCAGUCUAGUCUAGAAUCAACACCAAACGAAGCUUCAUCUUAACAACUACGUACACCGUAACUAAUGGGUAGCCCUUACCGUCUUUCUACAAUCUCCGAUUGGAAAUCCCUCAUUACAUUAGAACUGCACCUCAACAGCGAAAGACUUAUGUCNNNNNNNNNNNNNNNNNNNNNNNNNNNNNNNNNNNNNNNNNNNNNNNNAACCAGCUCACUAACGUUGCCAUUUCAGACAAGGAAUUUGGUUUGACAUCUCCCUAGUUUGCUCGGCUGAACGAACAGGUCUAAAUGGGUGGUAAGCCCGAAAUGUCACCCAAAACAGAAUCCAUUCUGUGAUGGAAAUACUAAUAAAUUAUUCUUCAACUCUGUAAUGUAACACUGUAGAUAGAGCGAGAAACAUAGCACAAUCAAAUUCAUAUGUAAAACAACCUAUCGCCCUGGACGCCCGUUUACUAGGAAGAUAAGAAUCAAAAAGGAUUGAACUACUAACUCAUUACUCAGAGGUGAAUCAUAUAACACCAAAAGCUGUGGUAUCUUGUGGACCUAACCCUCACAACAUAAACUGAAAGAUGCAAACCCUUCUCUUCAAAGUGGAUCAAGAAAAUUUCUUUCUUAAUAACUCCCCCAUGUUGCCUUCGCUGAUCAAAAUGAGGUGCUCUGAAAAGCAAAUAACAGGGUUGCUAAGAUAAUAACACAAAACAAAAACCUCGGUACUGAGAAUAAAGUUUCACAGAUUCUAAAUUAAGAUUGCAAAUGGAAAUUAGGAACACAAAGGUAUAUAAAUAAGAACUAUGAUAUUAGAAACAGACCUUUUCAGAAGGGCAAAUUUGUAAUCUACAGCACAAACUCGGCAACAGAACAAAUAAUAAAUUAACCUCCACAGUUUGAACAGGUAGUGCAGGAAAGAAUAGAAAUAUUAACUCCGCUAUCAAAGAUGACAAACCCCCUUUAUCAUUUCAUUCCUCCAAACUAUUUUCCAUUAUCAGAUCAAGAGUACCUUUGAGCAAGAAUGCCCCAAAUGCACAAGCUCUUCUGCAACGCUCAUGAGGUUGAAGAACCCCCUACAUAAAAAACAAAACAUACCUUCUCUCAUCCCCCCAAAAUGUCUCGUGCGCUCAAGGAAGUCAAACAAAUGGGAGAAGCUAACCAGGUCACUAAUGCAACAGGGAUGAAUGAGAUCGUGGAAAAUAGAUGAAACUAAGAAACUUGAUAUAGCAUAUCAGCUGCAAACCCAACAUAGUAAUGUGUUAUUUCCAACAUGCUGGACUCCUAAAGAAUUUGUGGAAGCAAGAAAGCACCAUCAUGGAAAACACUUUCUUAAUCCCAGUUAAUCAUACUUUCAGUGUUUAGAACAAAGAUUGACAAAUUAUAAAUUAAUCUUGAAAAUGGCCAACUAUAAAUAUGGACAAACCCUUCUACAUGGGCAAAAUCAUAACCUGCAGCAGAAGUUACCGCCACAGCACAAACCAUAUAGUAACUUUCACCAUUCCCCAUAAACAGCUAGUAUAGGAAAAAGUAGUAUAAUACCUCCACUAUCAAAGAUGAGAAACCCCCUUAAUAAAAAAUCAUAUCACUAUGAUCCAUUUCCUUCGAACUGUCUUCCAUUAUCAGGUAAAGAUGCCCUUGAGCAAGAUCGCCUGAUGUUGUACAAGCUCUUCUGCGACAUCAGAAAUAACAAACCUAUGACGUGAACUUUAAGUUCGAGAAAAAAAUAGAAAUAUUAUCGAUUCUAUAAUAAAGGUUGAGGAACACCCUCCAUCAAAAGAGCAUAUCAUGAUCCAAUCCCCCAAGCUAUCUUGAGAACCGAUGGUUCUGGUCAAACAAAUGAGAGAACAUCACCAGGUCAUUAAUAACACAAAUGACAUUUCUGGAACAUAGAUAUGAAACUCGAUACAGCAUAUAAAAAGCAGAUCCACUUAUCGAUAUCUUCACUGUCAUGCCCCACAUGCUGUGACCCCUAGAUUAUCAGUGGAAGUUNNNNNNNNNNNNNNNNNNNNNNNNNNNNNNNNNNNNNNNNNNNNNNNNNNNNNNNNNNNNNNNNNNNNNNNNNNNNNNNNNNNNNNNNNNNNNNNNNNNNNNNNNNNNNNNNNNNNNNNNNNNNNNNNNNNNNNNNNNNNNNNNNNNNNNNNNNNNNNNNNNNNNNNNNNNNNNNNNNNNNNNNNNNNNNNNNNNNNNNNNNNNNNNNNNNNNNNNNNNNNNNNNNNNNNNNNNNNNNNNNNNNNNNNNNNNNNNNNNNNNNNNNNNNNNNNNNNNNNNNNNNNNNNNNNNNNNNNNNNNNNNNNNNNNNNNNNNNNNNNNNNNNNNNNNNNNNNNNNNNNNNNNNNNNNNNNNNNNNNNNNNNNNNNNNNNNNNNNNNNNNNNNNNNNNNNNNNNNNNNNNNNNNNNNNNNNNNNNNNNNNNNNNNNNNNNNNNNNNNNNNNNNNNNNNNNNNNNNNNNNNNNNNNNNNNNNNNNNNNNNNNNNNNNNNNNNNNNNNNNNNNNNNNNNNNNNNNNNNNNNNNNNNNNNNNNNNNNNNNNNNNNNNNNNNNNNNNNNNNNNNNNNNNNNNNNNNNNNNNNNNNNNNNNNNNNNNNNNNNNNNNNNNNNNNNNNNNNNNNNNNNNNNNNNNNNNNNNNNNNNNNNNNNNNNNNNNNNNNNNNNNNNNNNNNNNNNNNNNNNNNNNNNNNNNNNNNNNNNNNNNNNNNNNNNNNNNNNNNNNNNNNNNNNNNNNNNNNACCAUUGUGAACCAGCUCAAACUAAACCAAGCGGAACCAUUAGGUUUUGCUCGGUUCGGAGUGGUUUAAGUCCAUUUGAGGCAACAUUUGACCAAAAAAGAGAGGAAAGGCCAUGAGAUACCAUUCUCCUCUCUAUUCUUCAAAAAUUAUGAAGGAAAGGUAGGUUCUGUGAGAACAAACCCUUAGGGCAAAUUCGUGACCUACAGCUGAACAGCACAAAGAAUAAAUUAACAAUACACACUUUCCCUUGAACAGCUAAUAUAAGAGAAAAUGUAUAACUCCAGUAUCAAAGAUGAGAAACCCCCUUCAUAAAAAUCAUAUCAUUAUAUUCCAAUUCCUCCAAACUGUCUUCCAUCAUCAGAUCAAGAUGCCCUUGAGCGACAUUGUCAAAUGUCGCACAAGCUCUUCUGCAACAUCCGAAAUAACAUACUAAACAAGUAUCAAAGCAUAAGAGUAAAAAAAAUGUAGUAGAACAAGUUCUACAAUCAAGGUUGAGGAACCCCUCCAUGAAAAAUACAUAUCAUGCUCCAAUCCACCCAGACUGUCUUGAGCACUCGAGGUCCCCACCGUCCCACCGGUAUUUAAAACCUUGGUACUGGUCAAACAAAUGAGAGGAAGUCACAAGGUUACUGGAACAACAGGAAUGAAUGAGGUUUAAUAAGACUUUGGAACAUAGAUGUGAAACUUAGUACAGCAUAUCAGCUGCAAAACAACUUAUCAACAUAGCAUCCAUCUUGUUCCCAACAGAAGUGAGUCUCCAUAUUGCCUUCCUGAUCAAAACAAUAUUCUGGUGAAGCAAAUAGAAAGAAUUAUUAAGAUAUCAACCCAAAGGAAUAAAACCAACUAGUGAAAAAAAGGGUAAUCAGGAACAUAAAGGUAUCAGUAUCAAAGAAGGAAAGGUAGGUUAUGUGAGAACAAACCCUUAGGGCAAAUUCGUGACCUACAGCUGAACAGCACAAAGAAUAAAUUAAAAAUACACGCUUUCCCUUGAACAGCUAGUAUAAGAGAAAUUGUAUAACUCCAGUAUCAAAGAUGAGAAACCUCCUUCAUAAAAAUCAUAUCACUAUAUUUCAAUUCCUGCAAAUUGUCUUCCAUCAUCAGAUCAAGAUGCCCUUGAGCAAGAUUGUCAAAUGCCGCACAAGAUCUUCUGCAACAUCGGAAAUAACAUACUAAACAAGUACUCUAAGCAUAAGAGUAAAAAAAACGUAGUAGAACAAGUUCUACAAUCAAGGUUGAGGAGCCCCCUCCAUGAAAAAUACAUAUCAUGCUCCAAUCCACCCAGACUGUCUUGAGCACUCAAGGUCCCCACUGUCCCACCAGUAUUUAAAACCUUGGUACUGGUCAAACAAAUGAGAGGAAGUCACAAGGUUACUAGAACCACAGGAAUGAAUGAGAGGUUUAAUAAGACUUUGGAACAUAGAUAUGAAACUUAGUACAGCAUAUCACCCGCAAAACAACUUAUCAACAUAGCAUCCAUCUUGUUCCCAACAGAAGUGAGUCUCCAUAUUGCCUUCCUGAUCAAAACAAUAUUCUGGUGAAGCAAAUAGAAAGAAAUAUUAAAAUAUCAACCCAAAGGAAUAAAACCAACUAGUGAAAAAAAAGGGUAAUCAGGAACAUAAAGGUAUCAAACAAUAAGUACAACAUAAACAAGGACAAACCCUUCCAUAUGGGCAAAACUCUGUCUCACAGCACAAAAUCAUCUGCAACAGAACAAAUAAUAAAUUAACUUUCAUGAUUCCACAUGAACAGCUACUGUAGGGAAAGGCUAGUACAACAAACUUUUCAUAUCAAGAUACCCAUAAGCAAGAUUAUCCCAUGAUGCCCAAGAUCUUCUGCAAUAGCGGAAGUACAAACUGACCUAUCACAUGAACUCUAGGUGUAAGGAGAAAAAUUAAUAAAACCAAUUCUAAGUCUAGGUUGAGGAACUCCAUGAAUGAAAAAGCGUAUCAUACUCCAAUUCACCCAGACUACAUUAAACAUUCAAGUUACUGGUCAAACAAAUGAGAGGAAAACAUCAAUGCAAUAGGAAUGAAUGAGAUUUUGGAACACAGAUGAAACUAAGAAACUUGAUACAGCAAAUCAGCUGCAAGUAUUUUAAUUAGCAACCUUGUCCAUCACCUAGAUGUUCUCUUACAGCACAAGCUCUUCUGCAAUAACAGAAAUAAUUAACCUUAUAAACAACAUGGUUAGAGAAAAAUUAAUAAAACCAAAUAGUGAGGAAACCCUACAAAUUGCCUUCACUGGUUCUAGUGAAACAAAUGUAAGAAUCAAUAAGCUAAUAACCCAACACAUAUGAUUAACAGUAUGGAACAAAGAUGAAAUUAGAAUAAUGUGCAUCAAAUAUUAACUCAUUUAUCCACUGUUGGAUUCAUUUUGUUUCCAACAUGCACCAAGUAGGACUCCCAUGGAGUCAGAGACUAGGGCCUAAACAAUGAAAAUGAGACUGUUUACAAGUAACUGAGUCCAGAAUUUUACAGAAUUUGAACAAAUGUGCAUCGAGAAUUAAGUCCUGCUGGAUUCAUUUAGUUUCCAAGACGCACCAGCACUACAAGGAGUCAAACAUUAGGGCCUACAUGAAAAUGAAACUGGUUCCAGGAUAACUUUACAGAAGUUGCCUUGAUCCCUAAGGAACACAUUCUCUUAUUUCGUGUUGAACCAGCAUUGAUAAACAGUCAAUUAAGAAGACAGAAGUCAAUAAACAAUAGCCACAAUAUAAACAGUAAUGCAAAUUGCUUCCCAUAACAUAAGAUCUGCAAAAGCAACAAAUAUAACAGCUUAACCUUAUCACAUCAACAACAGUCCAAUUCCCCAUAUGUCAAAUGACCGAAUCAGGGUACUGGUGAAACGAACUGGAGAAAACAAUUAAACCACUAACCAAAAGAAAUUAUUGGCACCUUAAAACAAAUUUAACCCACAGAUACCUCAAUUACAUGUAAAAGCUACAAAAUCACUAAUCGACAGUGUCAUUCAAAACGCACCCAGGAUGUACUGAAUCCUACAAUCUGUCAGAUAUGAAAAAAUGACCAGAGAUAGCGUAUUAGAAGAUAAUAAAGCUCCUUAAAAACAAACCAAAUCAGAAUUCUCCGGAUUUGACCGAAUCCAAAACAUGAACUAACUAAUUAUAAAGCAGAUUCAACAAAAGGCAAUAAAGAAGACAAUGUUUAAUAAACAAUAGCCGCAAAUAUAAAGAAUGGUUUAACUUAGUGGGUCCCUAGAUCCCUUAAGCAAGACUAUUUCAAACACUACCAGCCCUUCAACAGAGAUAAUAAAUUAAUGUUUCACAUUACUCCUCGCACAGGUCAAAGAAUUAAAAUUUGCCAAACAGCUACAACUGAAAGUUCGGGUAAUCGCAUAAGCUGUUAAAAUGAGGGCAUGAUUAGAUGGAGGAAUAAUUCCACAAACCAACUGAAAUACAAACAUCCCUCAAAUACUAGAUAACAGUGAAAACAAGACAUAUAUGUACGAUAAGAAAAGUGAUUAUAAAGAACCUUGAAGGAGUUACCAUAGAUUAAGAUUGGCAGUUGAUGAUGCUAUUAAACAUAUACCAAGUAUAGCAUCUCCACAAGAGGAAAUCUGAUAACAAAAACAACAGAUGUGAUGGGCCUUAUGGUGGACAAAAUUGAUGAAAUGUUGAGUAACAGGUGAACUACAACCAAAAAUUGAGAUCUUACUACUCCCAAAGCUAUCAACUGGAAGAAGCAACGUCAACAGACUAUAAGAUCAACCUGCAAACCACUACCAUUAGCUCGUUAUGAACAUGGUCAUGACUAGAUGCAACGAAUUUGCAAUUAAAAAAAAGAAAUAAAAAUUCGUAAACUUUAUAUUUACCAUACGAGCAAAUAUAGGGACAAGUACACAACCAAGACUUUCGGAGAACCAACCAAAAAGCCAAGAGCAGGUUAUCUCAGACAGGACCCUAAUCAUUGAAUAACAGCAAACAAUUAGGAUAAAGGAGGAAGCAAAUGAUAUCUAAAGGAAGAAAUAACCCUGAUUUUCUGGCCCUCAGCAAUUGCCAAGCUCAAGCUCUUGAAAAUACGACAAAAAAAACACAACAAUAGUUCACAUCUUACCCACGGAAUAUGAAUAAUUUGAAGUACCAAAGUAGUCGCUCUCUCAGCAAAUCAUCUCUGCUUUUUUGCUCAAAGCAGUUGACCAGUGGACUGAUUAGCAACAAGAAUGGUGAAAGAGAUGGUGGAUGAGUCCCAUAUAAUAGAUAAUCAGAACAUGAAAUACAUUGUAUCUCUGGAGCCUUCCAACAACUCCAACCCGUCGAACAUGAUGUUCAUUAUAUCCUUACAAAUACUACAGCAAAAGCAGCAAACACUCAAUAACACAAAUGAACAAAUGAAUAAGACAUUUAUAGCUUCAUAAUUGCUCCUCUAAAUGCUCUGAAUCAUGAAAAGCGAACACAAUCAAUUCGUCAGUUGAUCCUAAAUGAUCAGAUGAUUAGAGUACUUGAGAAACCCAAUCUUGAAUUCAGCCAAGACAAGUAUAGAGUACGAGCAAAUAUAGGGACAAGUACACAACCAGGACUUUCGGAGAACCAACCAAAAAGCCAAGAGCAGGUUAUCUCAGACAGGACCCUAGUCAUCGAAUAACAGCAAACAAUUAGGAUAAAGGAGGAAGCAAAUGACAUCUAAAGGAAGAAAUGGCCCUGAUUUUCCGGCCCUCAGCAAUUGCCAAGCUCAAGCUCUUGCAAAUACGACAAAAAAACACAAUAAUAAUGCACAUCUAGCCCGCAAAAUAUGAAUAAUUUCAAGUACCAAAGUAGUCGCCCUGUCAGCAAAUCAUCUCUGUUUUUUGCUCUAAGCAGUCGUCCAAUAGACUGAGUAGGAACAAGAAUGGUGAAAGAGAUGGUGUAUGAGUCCCAUAUAAUAGAUAAACAGAACCUGAAAUACCUUGUAUCUCUGGAGCCAUCCAACAACUCCAACCCGUUCGAACAUGAUAUUCAUCAGAUCCUUACAAUACUACAGCAAAAGCAGCAAACACUCAAUAACACAAACGAACAAAUGAAUAAGACAUUUAUAGCUUCAUAAUUGCUCCUCUAAAUGCUCUGAAUCAUGAAAAGCGAACACAAUUAAUUCGUCAGUUGAUCCUAAAUGAUCACAUAAUUAGAGUACAUGAGAAACCCAAUCUUGAAUUCCAGCCUCUGCAUCAUAUUUCAUAAAUCCAUCAUUAAGUAAUCACUUGACACUGGUAAAACGAGGUGAAUUGAGCAGUAUAACCUGGAGUAACAACGGAAUAAAGAGCAGAGGAAAUAUAUCCUAAGAAGCCACAGAAGAUGACUAAAGAUCAGAAGAAACUAUCAUGUCGCCACAGUGCUUGCAAACAGUAUAUGAUAGCUCUGAUCAGGUAGUGCCAUUUGUUGCCACAACAAAUCCUACCGCAACCAAAUAGAAGGAUUUCAACAAACACAAGAAGUGGAAAAAAUCAUCUCACUGAUCACAUAUUGCUUCUCUGAAUCAAACCAAUUGAUCAAAUCACAUUAUCUGAACAAAAUGAAAUAAUCAAAGGAAAAGAAACCCCCUUCAAAACAAUACCAAUGCGGACGCCUGCUUUAACAUCAUCUCUUUUGAGUUGAAUUACUUGGAAAACAAGGGCAGCCUUCUCAAAAAUUGGAACCUAGAGAAACCAUCAAGAAUCAAAAACCAUGAUUAGAUUAAGCAUCAAAAUUAGAAAUCACUGUCACACUGCACAAUAAUAUUUUCAUCAUGUUUCAAACCACCAUGUAAUAUAGAAACCCCCUUCAUAAGAACUUCCGGCCUCUAAAUCAUGCCUCUGAUGUCCAACAUCAGAAUAUGGAAACCAAAAUAACACCGACUUAGAAUCAUGAACAUUCUCCGAAACAUAGAAACUGCUUCCAUGAUGAUUUCACACUGAAAAUAUUAUUAAUACAAAUACUGAAAACUCGUAACCCCAGCACCAGUGCUUCAACCGAAUACAAGAAAAUCAUGAAGUAAAUCUGAACUCGGACUGACAGAUUGCUGAUACUCAAAAAUCCAAUCAGAAUACACCACAGCUAAUUCCUGCAGAUUAACGAUGGAGCACCCCCAAUACCAGAAGAAAGAAACCUGAACCACUUGGAUUCUUUUUUAGGAAAAAAAGGAAACUAAAUCACAAGAGACCAGAUUCAAUCGUCAAAUCCUCAAAUAAGAACAAACAGCUCAUAAUUCUGCGAACCCUAAAAACCAAGUCGCAAAAAAUUCCUUAAUUACCGCAAAUCUUCAACUUGAAUUUCAGCCUCUGAAUCAUGCCUAUCUUGUCCAACACCGUAAGAUGGAAUCUAAAGUAACAUUGAAUUGGCAUCAGGAACAUCUUUUUUAAAACAUCCCGACACCACUAAUCAGGCUGCAAAAUAAUGCUUGUGUGAUGCUUUCAAACCUCGGUACAAAGAAUAAAGAUUGACAGAUUCUAAAUUAAGAUUGCAAAUGGAACUUAGGAACACAAAGGUAUAUAAAUAAGAACUAUGAUAUUAGAAACAAACCCUUCCAGAACGGUAAAUUUGUAAUUUACAGCACAAACCCUGCAACAGAACAAAUAAUAAAUUAACUCCACAGUUUGAACAGCUAGUGCAGGAGAAAUAUUAACUCCACUAUCAAAGAUGACAAACCCACUUAAUCAUUUCAUUCCUCCAAAUUAUUUUUCAUUAUCAGAUCAAUAGUACCUUUGAGCAAGAAUGCCCCAAAUGCACAAGCUCUUCUGCAACGCUAAUGAGGUUGAAGAACCCCCUACAUAAAAAAGAAACAUACCUUCUCUCAUCCACCCAAAAAUGUCUCGAGCGCUCAAGGAAGUCAAACAAAUGGGAGAAGCUCACCAGGUCACUAAUGCAACAGGGAUGAAUGAGAUCGUGGAAAAUAGAUGAAACUAAGAAACUUGAUACAGCAUAUCAGCAGCAAAACCACUUACCAACAUAGUAUGUGUUAUUUCCAACAUGCUUGACUCCUAAAGAAUUUGUGAAAGCAAGUAAGCACCAUCAUGGAAAACCCUUUCUUAAUCCCAGUUAAUCAUACUUUCAGUGCUUAAAACAAAGAUUGACAAAUUAUAAAUUAAUCUUGAAAAUGGCCAACUAUAAAUAUGGACAAACCCUUCUACAUAGGCAAAAUCACAACCUGCAGCAGAAGUUACUGCCACAACACAAACCAUAUAGUAACUUUCACCAUUCCCCAUCAACAGCUAGUAUAGGAAAAAGUAAUAUAAUACCUCCACUAUCAAAGAUGAGAAACCCCCUUAAUAAAAAAUCAUAACACUAUGAUCCAUUUCCUUCGAACUGUCUUCCAUUAUUAGGUAAAGAUGCCCUUGAGCAAGAUCACCUGAUGUUGUACAAGCUCUUCUGCGACAUCAGAAAUAACAAACCUAUGACGUGAACUUUAAGUUUGAGAAAAAAAUAGAAAUAUUAACAAUUCUAUAAUAAAGGUUGAGGAACACCCUCCAUCAAAAAAGCAUAUCAUGAUCCAAUCCCCCAAGCUAUCUUGAGAGCCGAUGGUUCUGGUCAAACAAAUGAGAGAAUAUCACCAGGUCAUUAAUAACACAAAUGACAUUUCUGGAACACAGAUAUGAAACUCGAUACAGCAUAUAAAAAGCAGAUCCACUUAUCGAGAUCAUCACUUUCAUGCCCCACAUGCUGUAACCCCAAGAUUAUCAGUGGAAGUCAGGAACCCUUGUCAUGAAAAAUCCUUUCUUAACC